AGAGACGAACAUUCUCGGUUGGUCGUUUAUGCUUCUGCAGAAAAUCUUGUUAGAUGUAUUCUAAUGCUAUUUAAAAUAUUUUUUGAUUAAGGGUUGGGAUUCCGUACUUGUAAAUUGUUGACACUUGAUUGGAAAUGUACGAAUAUUAUAAAUUGUAUUAUAUCGUAUAUAUAUUAAAGUGUUGGCUACUUUUUUCUAUAUGAGUGUCAAUAUUAUAAAUUCAAAAUUGUCAUUCUCAGCUACAUUAUUGUCAUUCAAAUGAUUCGUGUAGUGGUGGAGCGACAAGGAGAACCGGAAAAAACUGUAGUAAAUUGAGAAAUUUGCAACAUAAAAUAAAUGAUUAAUUGUUGUCAAUCCGAAAACGAUGACAGUUGUUUAAUCAAAUAAAUUGUCACGAUUACCCUAUAUGUGACAAAAAAAAAUGUCGUCAAUAGCAAAACAAUGACAUUUUUAUACAAAAAAAACUGUCGCGAUUAACAUAUUCAUGACAAUUAAAAAAUGUCACAAUAAAUGAAUUCGCACAUUUAUUUAACCGUCGUUAAUACACAAAUGAUGAUAGUUAUUUGUUGUCAUAAAAUAAAAUAUGACAAUUAUUUGACGUCGUUGAAUUCUGAUUAACGACAUUUAUUUCAUGUCAUAAAAUAACUUAUUUCCAUGACUCCCGCUUCUAUGACUGAAAAUAACUGUCGGGAAUUUCGUUUACGACAGUAAAUAACUGUCGUCGUAGACCACUUUUGUACUAGUGUUGUUGUAUGUAGAUCUCUUCAUCUAACUCAUGGUUUAAAAAUUCCAUCUUGACAUCCAUCUGAUGUAUCUCAAAUCUAUGUAAAGUUGAUAUUGCUACGAGGUUGCGAAUUGAAUUAAUUCGAGUAACUGGUGAGUAGGUAUCAAAAUAGUCAAGUCCUUCUAGUUGCUUGUAACCUUUGGCUACAGGUCUUGCCUUAUAUUUAUCUAUUGACUCAUCGAUCUUCAUUUUUUGUUUGAAAUUCCAUUUGCAACCAAGUGGUUUACUUCCUAAUGGAAGAUCAACUAGCUCCCAACUAUGGUUAUGGAUUAUGGACUCAAAUAUGGAGCUUUAGGAGAGGACAUGGUCUCUUUAAAUGUUUGAGGUUCGUUUUCUAAUAAAUAAGUUAAAAAAUUAGGCCCAAAUGAUUUUGAGAUCCUCAACCUUUUACUUCGUCUAAGUUCUUCAUCCUUCAUUAACUCAACAUUUGAUCUAUUAUGAUAUUCACUUGUUAUAGCAUCAAACAAACGUUUUUUUAAUCUUGCUUCGCAAGACAUUUUAUGAGGAAAAACAUUCUCAAAGAAUGUUGGAUUCCUUGAUUCUACGAUUGUAUUAACAUGUAUAUAUGAAAUAUCUUAUUUAUGAACUAUAAAUCGAUAUGCACAACUAUUACUAGCAUAACCAAUGAAUAUGUAAUCAACAGUUUUUUGUCAUAUUUUAAUCAUUUUAGGUUUAUCUAGGCACAACAACCUUUGCUAGGCACCCCUACACUUUUAAGAAUUCGUAUGAAGGGUGUCUUAUCCUUUCCAUUUUUCAUAAGAAUAUUCUAUGACUUCUUAUGAGGUAUUCUAUUUAAUAAAUAAUUUGCUGUCAAUAAAGCUUCUCCCAACAAAUUUUGGGGUAAACCUGAAAAUGUAAGCAUUGUGUUCAUCAUUUCCUUAAGUGUUUGGUUUUUUGAUCAGCAAUUCCAUUGGAUUAAGGUGAGUAAAGAGUAGUAGCUUGGUGAAUAAUGCCAUGUUCGGAACAAAAUUGUUCAAAAGGAGCACCAUAUUCACCACCUCAAUCACUUCUUACUACUUCAAUUUUUAUGCUAAGUUGAUUUUCAACCUCUUUUUUAUAAAGCUUAAACAUUUCAAUUGCCUCAUCUUUGCUUUUGAGCAGAUAAGCGUAACAUUAUCUUGUGCAAUUAUCUAUAAAAGUAAUAAAAUAUUUUUUUCUAUCUCUAGUUUGCACAAAUUUCACAAAUAUCCCUGUAAAUUAACUCUAAAGUUUUGGUAAUUCUCUAUCAGUUGAAUGAAAAUGUGUUUUAGUCAUUUUUUUAUUCCACACACACCUCACAUUUAUGAUUUGUCUCAAAAGUUAAUUUUGGAAUCAAAUUCAUAUUAAUUAGCCUUCGCAAAGAAUACAAAUUGACAUGUACUAGUCAGCCAUGCCAAACAAAUGACUCAACAUUAUAAGCAAAAAUAUAUAUAUUAUCAUUAAUAAUACUUUUGGGUACAGCUGUGAGUACAUUUAAUUUAAAAAGACCAUCACUCAAAUAACCCUUUCUUUUAAGUGUAGCACUCCAUAUAGAAGAUCAAUGAACGAAACCUUGUGAAUCUACUGAACUUCAAGAUUGUGGAUAUUGAGAGAAAUUCGCUUAUAGAAGACACAUGAUUAUUAAUAUGAAUCUUCACUCAACCAAAAGGACUUAUUUAUAGACUUAUUUGUGGCCAUUUGAAAAGUCAAGUUCUUUAGUUAUUAACACUUUUCAUGAAAUGAUGUAUCCACCUAUGAUGCAUCCAUUCGAAGAUCACAAAUAAUAACCAUUUAUUCCAACACGAUGUUCUACCAAAAACAGAUGUAUUUGCUUUGUGUUCGAAAGAACCAAAAACAUUUUUAAAAAACUCACAUUUUAAAAACCAAAAACCAAAUACAAGAUGUUGGAAAUGAGAUAAAAAUUAAUUAAUAUUUUCAAGUGUAAAUUAACACUCGUUAAAAAAAUACAAAAUUAUUUCAAGAUUUUUUGAAUUGUUUCCAAACUUUCUCAAACCAAACAAUUAUGGUGUUUGGAAUAAUAUGAGAAUACAAUAAGGCCAUAUGGGCAAUCGAAGUCUAAACCUUCUACCUAAUCAUUUCCCAGUAAUUAUAAAAAACUUGUUCGCCAGCAGCAUUAUUCAAAUAAACUCCAUCUUGUCUUGCACUCCAAAUACAAGUUUGGUUUCCACAAUAAUUGGUCACAAAAUCAGGAGCACUUUUAAAACUAUCAAAUUCCAAAUACCCUACUUCCCAUUCCAAUCUACAAUGAAAACUGGUCGUGGCAAUCCAAUUCCCUUUAAACGACCAAUCUUGUUUUUCGUCUGGAAACAAUAUAUGCAAUCCCAAAUCGUCAUCUUUCGAGUAGCAAUGGCUGUCUAAAAUGAACAUACGCAAGUCGUUGUGAAUCUCGACAGUAAAACGUUCAAACAUGACGACAGGAUUGUUUGGAACCGAUAACUUUGGUGUCGGAGAUUUGUUUUUUGCCUUUUUUUUGGCCAUGGACGUUCUUAAGGGGGCUAGGAGCAAGAUAACUAACAAUAAGGUAAGUCGCAGUGCCAUUGUUAAAUUUAUGUUUACCGAUGGAUAUUAUUUGUUUAUUUUAUAGUGUAUCUGUGAACGUUUUGAAAUAGAGGGAAUUUUACAUUAGUGGUUGCUUGAGAAGCAAUGUUAAAAAUAGUAGGGGAAGGUUAAAAAUAGAAAUUUCUUGACUUCGUCAGGUGUCUUUUUCUUUUCCUUUCUAUUUCUUUCUUUCUUUCUAUUUUGUUUAUUAUUAUGAUUAUUAUAGUUUGUUUUCAAAGGGAUGGCAUUUAAGAGAUGAGCUUAAUCAGAGUAAUAAGUGUUUGCAUAACCGUGUGUUUUGGGUUGGAUUUUUUGAAGUUUAUUUUCAACAAUUUUCUUUUAUAAAAAAGAAUUUGAACAUAAAUUAUUUUAAACACUUUUUUCUGAUCAAUUCAAAUACACCUUAACUUACAUAUAUGUAUGAUCAAAUGUUUCAACUUUUGAAUACUUACAAAAGAAAAAAUGUAACAGGUAGCAAAUUAAAUAUGGACAAUACGAAAUCUUUGAAUAGUUUCUUGAUUUUGCAAUUAGAAUUUCUAAUUAUUUUUAUUACAUACAAAUCCUUAAACAAUUAAUUGAUAGAGAGAGAAGCACCGACUGGUCGACAGAGGUAAGCAAGGGAAAGAUGGAAGGAUGAUCGGCGACAAUAUGGUUUGGUGGUGGUGAAAGAGAAAUGUUGAAGGAAAUAAAGAUAGAGAGAGAAAGAGAAAGAGAAAAAGAACAAUCGACAAUCAGUGACAGGACGUGCGGUGUCUGAUGGAGAUAAGCAGCAAGAAGAUGGAGUGGUGGUCUACAAUCAGUGUUGGUAAAAUAUAACAAGUUUGAGCGGGAAUGAGAUCCAGUUUUCUGUUCUGCAUUCAUUCAUCAAAGUAUGCCUUAUUUAUAUACAAGUAACUCAUACAAGGAAAAAACUAACACCCACCAUAAUAGGAACAAAAUUGUAAACAAUAUACAAAAGCAACAAUAAAAGAAGAAUAAAGUAGAUCUCCUACUAACAACACACAGAGCCGUUGUAGGUGGUAAACUCAAACAUUAGAGACUUGGCGCACUUGUGAUGACCUGGAACAGGUUGACCAGGUAGGCUUCCUAAUAACCUCCUUCAAACUUGGUGGGAGUUCAAUGAGACCAAGUUUGAACUGUAAACACUGAAGUUGCGAGUGAGUAAAAGCCUUAGGGAGACAAUAACCAGUUGAUCAGAUGUAGGAAUAUAUCAAACUUCUAACGCACCUCAGAGCAUGUGAUCAUAGAUAAAAUGGACAUCAUCUAGAUAAGCUUCGUUUAGGCAUGAAAGAUAGGGUUUAAUUUUCAGCAAGAGCAUGAGUAUUCAGGUUAAAAUACCAAAGAACUAGGAGUUUGAGAAGACGGGAAGUUGAGCUUCAUCAAGACUCGUCAAAGCCAACGCGAGAAUGAAAGGUGUCGAAGGCGAAGGAAUAAGACAACGUGUUGUGAAGAAAGGCAACGUGGUACAAAAAGAUAACGUGAGAAUGGAAGCUGUCAAUAAACACUUGACCAAUUAUCAGGUGACAAGCUAGACAAGAAGGAGUUGGUGAAGUGUUAAACCUGAAUGAUUAGUUAGCUAAACAUAGGUUAAUUUUAAGUUAAGCAUGUGGUUUAAGAAAGAAUACUGAACUAUAACGAUGCAAUAGAUGUUGAAAAACGAACUAGGGCUAAGUGCAGAUCGUCCAUAAAUUAAAUAAUAAAAUCACGAAUAAACAUACCUUUAUAAUAAACUUAUCCAAAUUGAAUUGUCUUUGUUCUUGAUUAUCCAAAUUGAUUAGAACGAUCCUCCAAUUCGUAUCACCAAAACUUUAUGAAAUCACAACCGUCAUACCUUUAUAAUAAACUUAUCCAAAUUGAAUUGUCUUUGUUCUUGAUUAUCCAAAUUGAUUAGAACGAUCCUCCAAUUCGUAUCACCAAAACUUUAUGAAAUCACAACCGUCCUCUGACACUAUCCACACACGAACUAGAAAUUUGACUCCUCGAAUUCGAGUCGGCUAGAACUUCACAAAGGAAAUUUUUUUACUCUCUAUUCUCUCUCUAUGUAGAAUGAAUUUUAUGUCUUUGUUUGCAUGUAAAACAAGGCGCCUAAGUUUUUAUUUAUAGGCUUCUUAGGGUUUCGUAAGAAGCUUUAAGAUUUCUAAUAAGUUUUCAAUUCUCCAAUUGAACUUAUUAAUUACCUAGCCCAAAAAUAAAUUCGACCUAGUUCGUUUUGUGUGUGAUCCGUUAGGCUAAUUUAAUAUAACAAUGGAUUUAAUAACUUGUUUUAUGACCCAUAAAUCAUAAUUGGUCUCUAGGAAGACAUUAUGACUACCAAAAAUAAAUUAAGUCGAUGAUCCAACAUAACCUAAUAUAAUUAUUGCUUUUAAUCAUUUUAUCACGUGAUAUUUAUAAGUGAAUAUAAGGCAUGGACAAAGUCAUCUUAUCUAAUUCAAUUUUUUUCUCGAUCAAUAAGUAUAUUAAAAUAUUAAGUGAUGUGGAAAUGCAUGGUUGUUUUAUAAAUGAAUUAAUAAGAGUAUUAAUGUCAUUUAUAGAACAACCAUGCAUUUCCACAAUCACGCUUAAUCGAGGAGGUCAAAGAUAUCUCUCCAUAACAAGAUGGAUAAAGUCCAUAUUGAUUAAUCAUUGUCUUAUUUAUUGAAAUUCUUUAACUUAUUGAUCACAAAAUUGAGCCACUGAAAAAAGAAGUUGCACUUAGGUAAGUGUUGACAUUCAAUUGUUUUAAGCCUUUCUUAACCAUAUUUUUAUUUCUUCAGGAUCUUUCUCACAUUCAAAUGUGAUAUCGGUUCAUUUACGCCUCCUCCUAAACUCGAGGAGUUGGACAUUAUUUUUUGAGUUGUUUGUGUGAUUGUUCCAUGAGUUGUUUCAGCUAACUGUCCUUUAUUCAGCAGUUGUUAAGGGAAGUUACAAUUUUCUUGCACAAUAUUUCCUUCCUUGUUAACUUAUUUUGCAAAUUUAGAUCGCUGAGAUCUUUUCCUUUUUCAAUGCUUUGCUGAUUUAGUCCAAGGAUAUUUUCCUUUGCUCCACAAUGCUAUUUGAGCUCAAGAUGCUCUCCUUGCUAGGGUUUCACACAUAUUGAUUUAUGAGAUUGAUAAUGGAGUUUUUGACCAUGUGUUGUGUUUGCAGACAUGACCUUUUUGUUUGAGUGUGGCGACAAACUUCGAGCAUUUGUUUCUACUAAGAUUGCAUUGAAAUUGUGAACCAAUAUAAAGUUGAAUCAUUCGAGAAGUAAUUCUGAAACUCAGAGGAUUUAAGGGCACACAUUCUCAUGACAAGGAAGUUCUCGUACACUUAGAAAAGCAUAAAUUUCUCAAGUGAAGGGAGUUUCACAAGAAGAAGAAGGAACAAUAACCUCAAGUAAGAUGAAGUUUCACAUACAUAAGGGAAGGCCUAAGUCUACACUAUUAACAUCAUCAUACUUAGAUGGAGCCUAAGUACACAAAGAGAGUCAAUUCUCGCAUCUAAAAGGAGUUUAGGUGCGUAGAUGAGCUAAGCUCUAUGGUUAUCACUCUAAGAUCGUCUACAGAUAAUUAAGUGCAAUGUUGUGAUCGCUUAACUUGAUCAUAUUAAUGGAUGAUCUUUCUUUGGACAUACUACCUUCUAAACGUAGGUGUUGUAUCACUAAACUAGGUGUGAGUCACUAGUGCAGCAGGAAUUUGCUGAUCAGCUUGACCCUCAGCAGGUUGAUUACGACCUGCUCCUCUACCUCGACCUCUACGACCUCCUCUACGAACACCCCUCUUUAGCGGCAUAAUUCCUAUUAUCCACCAAUAACUCUCUUUUAGUAGUUUUAAACAAAAGAGUACUUCAUACAAUAUAGUUUAACUUAGGUAAAGUCAUGCAAAUAAACCAUACAUAUAAGCAUAAAGCAUACCUGACGAGAGACGAAGGGUCGCGUUAGCCAUAGAGACACAAAACAUAGACUUGCAUCACAAGUUAGUCUACAGAGCCUAAAACUUAGGCUCUGAUACCAACUGUAACGACCCAAAAAAAUACAAUCGAGGAAAAAAAAUUUAAGUCGGGCUCGAUUUCAAAUAUUCAAAACUUUAAAAGUACUGUUUACAAAAAAAAAGUAGUUCGUAAGCUCAGUUACAUCACAAUGUUUUAAACAUCAAAAACAUAAAGCGGAAGCAAAAAUGACAUAUUCCCUAUGGUAGUCACGCUUCCUUCCUGUCCCUCGUCAGUUUGUCACCCUUGUUACUUUUGCCUGAAAAAUUAAACGUAAAAGGGUGAGUAUAAACAUACUCAGUAAGAAACCCGCUACUGGCCCCGUUAGGGGAAAAAUAAACUGUUAACGUCCUAUUGGGAUACCCUGCACAGUCAUAGUCUUGUGAUCCCAUAGGAUACACAUAUCAGUAUAGCGCCCCGAGGGACGUACAUUUCAGUCUAGUGUUCUGCAUAAACACAUAUCAGUCUAAUGCUCUCGAAGGAUGCAUAAUAAUUGAUGAUCCCGUAGGACACCUACAAGGCACACAUCCCAAUAAAAAGCUAACAAUUUUUCCCUCAGUCCAUUGUAAACAUCUUGACAGUCAUUUAUAACACCGUUCAACUACUUCCAUAUAUAUAGUCCUUUCACUUAACAUUCUAACAGUCAACCUAUCUCACUUUAGUCCAAAGACCGUGGGUAACAUUUUAACACACAGUCAAUCAAACUACAAGGUCAUAACACCACUCAGUUCACCAAUACGAAACCACACUUUAAUAUAACCUACACCCAAUCAUAUCAAAAUCACAAAUUUACAUCCACAUUUUUAUACAACACAUUCUACUAUUAUCGUCCUGUCUACAUCCACAUCUACAUAUAUCAUCAUGUCUACAUCCAUAUCUACAUAUAUAAUCCCAGACAAACACCAUAUGCAUUCAACAUCAAGUCUACGUCAAUUUAUGUACAUAUACAAAUUCAGUAAUUCACAGUACACAUUCAAACAUCCAUACAUAAAUAUACCGGCGGUUGAGUCCAGUAGUAGAGAAUCCCUUACUAAUACAUAAUUCGACCUUAGCGUUAUCUCAAUUAGGUAUACUCAUACAUAAGUGUUACUCAUCUUAGUUCAGUCAAUUCAAUCAAACGUAUACCACCUAUUCUUCAACAUAACAGUCAACCAUCCUCAGUUCAAUCAACAAACAUUUUUAAUUUAGUCAUUCCAUCAACACACAUAAAACUAUCUAAAGCCAUUAAGUCCCUUUAACCACAUCGAGUUACACUCAUACCCUUUAAGUUGCUCAAGUCCAUACAUAUCAGUUAAAUCGUUCUAAUCAAUGAAAUUCACAUAUGGAUCCAGUAGAAAGUCCAUUACCUUAACCUUACUUAACCUCUUUUUUCAAACUACAAUGCAACGAACGAACCUAAACACAAUAGAAUAGAAACCCAUUACUUCCACAAGCAAUUCCAUCCAUUCAAUCAUCCACUCUAAUGUAAAUUCCAAAACUUACUCAAAUUAAAUAGAGUAUUGGACUCGAAGCAACUUUGGUGAACCCAAAAAUUCAAACACUGUCCACAAUUGACACCACAAAAACCCAAUAUUCUUCGUGGCAAUGCAGAAACGUUAGUGCACCAGUCGACCCAAGCAACAGCGUGCAAGGCAGAUUAGAACGGCUGAUUUCGCGAUGAAGACCGGCACAGACGAAGGUGUGGCGACUUCGCAGAUCUGGACGACGGCUUGAUUUCAGACGGAGGCGCGACGGUUGUGGGCGGAGAGACACGACGGUUGUGGGCGGACAAGGUCGGACGGAGGCAGGGGCAAAUGGACUGUGCGGCGGCUGUAGUGGACGAACGGAGAAGAGGAGAGGAAGGGGGUGGCGACGGCUGCAACGGAAAGGAAAGAGGAAGAAGAUGGUGGGUGGCUGAUGCUAGCGCAGAAAGAAGAGAAGAGAAACGGAGGAAGAAGGAGAGAAAAAGAAGAAAAAGAAGAAAAAGAAGAAAAAGAAAAAAAAAGGGGAGGGGGUGCAGCGCGCAGGAGGAAAAAGAAGAAAAGAAAUUCAAAUUUCUUUUUCCUUUUUAUUAUAAAUAUAAGCAAUAUUUAAUAACAAUAUAUUAUUAUUAUUAUUAUUAUUAUAUUAUUAUUAACUUUUCCACUUUCACUUCUUUUCUUUCCCAUUAAAUAGAUUUCUUUUCUAAGCCAAAAGCAAUAAAGUAACACCCAACAAAAAUUAAAAGUCCUAAAAGUAGAGCAAUCUGGUUAAAAUUAAUUACAUUAGAGUUUGGGGUGUUACAAUUGGAUACCGAGAGACACUAGUCCUUAAUCACGUAAUACUACAUAACUCAUAAGUAGUCUUUUUUAGAUAUUACUCACCUAGUUAUACUUGAUCAUAUGAAUCUCUAAAAAGCAGUUAUGUAUGACAUAUAUGCCUUCGAGAGAAGCAUGCCUUAAUCAUAAGUAUGUCUUAGUGAGUUAGAUUGUAUCAUAGUUGUCUCUCUACUUAUACGAAGGGAAACAUAGGGACAUUCUUGCCUUCAUUCCUUUAAUACAAGUUAGUUGUGUUAUUGUCUUUUAAUCAAGUUAGUUACGUUAUUGUAUCUUUAUCUUCACUUUGCCUUUAGACUCUCGUCGUAUAAUUCGACAAUUCUUACAAUUGUUAUUUUUUUAUUCUUUCAACUCGCCUAAAUGAAUAGUGAAAUCUAGAACUAACAUCUAAAACAAUUCUCUGUGUUCAACCCUAGAUCACCCAAUUAAACCUACUGUUUCGCUUGCACUUGGGCAAGUAGUAGGAAAACUUGUACUCAUCGAGGACUUAGGAAUUACGUGAUGAAAAGGUACAUUGUGAGCAUUUCAUAUUCUAUGAUCAUGACCCAUGACCCAUGACCCAGAAAUAAAGCAUAUGCUAUAUAGAGAGUUACGAUGAGCGCAUCACGCGCAAUGACCAAACUCAGUGACAUAUUGCAAUUACGUUAUACACACACGAAAUUAGUGAGUCCAAAAGAACAACUAGAAAUCACAAGCAUUCUUUAACAGUAUCUACACACAAACUAGAAAUUCGCCUCCUCGAAUUAAGAUUUGCUAGAACCUCACAAAGUGAGAUAUUCGACUCUCUCUAUUAUCUCUUUGUGUAGAACAAAUUUAUGUCUUUCGCUUCUCUAUAAAAUAAAAUACCAAAGGUCUAGGUAUUAUUUAUAGGUUUCUUAGGGUCUCCUAAUAAGCUUUGGAUUUCAUAAUUAUAAGCUUAGAAUUUCCUAAUAAUAUUCAACUUCUCCAAUUGGCUUAUUAAUUACCUAACCAUGAGACAAAUUUGACCAAGUUCUUUCGUGUGCGAUCCAUUAGGUUAAUUUAAUAUGAAAAUGAGCUCAUAACUAGUUUUAUGGCCCAUAAGUCAUAAUUUGUCUCUAGUAAGACAUUAUGACUACUCAUAUUAAAUUAAGUUGAUGAUCGAACAUAACCUAAUAUAAUAAUUGCUUUAAUUCUUUUAUCACACGAUAUCUAUAAUCGAGGGGCUCAGAGAUAUCUCUCUAUAAAAAAGAGAUAAAUUCUAUCCUGAAUAAUCAUUGUCCACUACAUAAUUCAUAACGUGUAUUCGAGUACCACCUUUCUAAUUAUCCGAUUAAAGACAACGUUUGAUUGUAUCAUAAAAGUUUAAUAUAUUCUUAUGUUUGACACUAUGAUAAUCUUAGGUCUAAGAAUCAAAACAAUCAAUUAUUUGAGAUUAUUUAUGACAUAUGUUCAUGUAAUAAUCUAAAAAAUGGUCAGUGAUCCAAUUCUUGUUAUCUAAUAAGAAAAUAUGAUUAUAAUUUAUGUCUCUACAUAUAUAAUCAGCGUAUAUGAUUAUCAAAUUAUAACUCAUACUAAUCUUAAUUUAUUAUUGUUUCUACAAUAAUAGUUUAUUAGAGACAUUUAGAAUAUAAUAACAUAUUCAUGGAUAUUUAUUAUACAAUAAUAUGCAAUUGAAUAAUAAUGAGAAUAAUAACUCUUGUAGCUAUGAUAUAAAAAUAUAUAAAUAAAUAAAUAAUAUUUUUCAAAGUUCAAAGAAAAAUGAAUAUUGACAUGUUUUGAACGACGUGUGGAGAUAUUUGGUCACAUCACACAUCAAAAAGUUUUGCCAGAGUACAAUAGUUGCAACAUAUACCUUUAAUCAAAAGGUUAAAAGGUCACAUUUUCGUUGAACUUAAAAAAUAAUAAAAAAUAAAUAACACCUGAAAAAUGUUCAAGGUGGACUUAAUAAUAAAUGGAGACAAAUAAUUAAUUUAACCCAUAAACCCAAUUUGAUAAGAGCCAAACCCUCAUUACAAGGAGGGCACUCGGAGCAAUUUCCAAUGAUGAUGAAAAACAAGUUGACCAGCUUCAUUCAGCAUGUAAAGCCCAUCUUGUUUGGCUAUCCAAACGCAUAGAAAGUUGGGACAAAAUUGAUUAACGAAAUCUUCAUCAACAAAAAAUGCAUCAAAUUCCCUAAACCCUCUUUCCCAUUCCAAUCUACAAUGGAAUAAUGUUGUUCCCAUAAAGUUCCUUCUGAAUGGCCAACUUUGCCUUUCAUCUGGAAGAAGUAUUUGUAACCCUAAAUCGUUAUCUUUGGACCAACAAUGACAAUCCAUUAUAUACAUUUUCAACUCGUUGCGAAUUUCUAGGUGAAACUUCGGGAUAUAUAUAAGAGAUCUGAUUGAUUGUUGUUCUUUACUUCCGACCGUCGGUCGGAAUAUGAUAAGUAAGAGGCAUGUGAAUAAUAAUACGAUUUGAUGCAUAGGUUUAAUUUUUUCUUGAAAGAAAUAAUCUCAGCAGUAAAAUGCUACUUUGGUUUCCUCUCAAUUUCCAAAGGAUUCAAGGAUUCAAUGUUCUUGGGAGUUACGUGUAUGUGUUUAUAUAUACAAGUUUUUGAAGUGGAAAAGACUUAAAAUAGUUACGUUUGUUGAAAAAUUGAAGGGAAAUUUGAUAUCAUGAAUGAUUUUGUUUCGUUUUUUUUUUUUUUCAUAAUAUGCAUAGAGUAUAAAAAAUAGUUUGUCUAAAAAUGUAAUGGUUUGAUAUAUGUUGACUGAUUUUUGUCUUGUAGUCUUUCUAAAAAUUAGAAAAGCCAGCAUCCAUCCAGCUAUAAAAGAAAUACAAACAAUUAAAAAGGUCUUUUUUUUUUCCCAUUUUUUCAGGAUAAUAAUUAAUUAAUAGAAAAUUUGAAAGGUGUGAUUGAAGGAUAGUGAUGUAGCAUUUUCACUCUCAUCCGUAAAUGACUAAAAAAAUGAAAUUUAAGCUAUACCGAUCAAUACUACCUAUACUACUAAACAAUACAAGGAAGCAUAGGAAGCAUGAAGAUUAGUUUCUCAAAGUUAAUUGUUUAGUUAAAGUAAUAAAUGAGGGUGUUCGUGUGGUUUGAGAUUCAAGUGAAUGAAGUGCGAGAAAAAUUAAUAAAGAUAAACAUAAUUUUGAUCCUAAACUCUAAAUUCUAUUAAUGUAAUUUUGAUCAUCGAAUUAUCAAUUAUAUGAUUUAACUUCUUAGGUACCUAUGCUAGCCCAAUUGACUAGAAAAGCUAAUGAAUGGUCCUAAAUAUCAAAUUCAUCAAUUUAACUAGAUGAGAAGAUUCCUAAUCAAGUUAACUAAGUGUAUUACACUUUAGGGAUUACAUUAGGAUAAACUUCUAAUAAGAAAAGCCUAAUUACAAAUUUAAUAUGAUUGUUUUUCUUAGGUCAAUAGAACAAUGCUCUUUUUUGUCAGCCACGAACCACAAGUCUAUAUAACUCAUUACUACUUCGUGGAGAUUAACGAACAACUGUAUGUCACCUAUAUUAUACAUUAACCUAAAGCAUGAAAUUGCACAAUCAAGCAUUGGUUGUCAAUCAAUAACAAAAAAAUGUAAUUCAUAAUAAUCAACAAAUCAAGAGUAAAACCCAUAGAUAAAAAAUCUCAACCAUAUUGUCAAAGUACUCCAAAAAAAAUAUAACGGGUUUCUCCAAAAUCUUCAAAACUAGAAAGAACAAAUAUCUUACCUUCCCAUAAUGGUGGAAGAGAUAAAGAUCCCAAAGUUUUUGCCUGACUAUAGAGAUAAGAUGAAAUAAAACCUAAAAACUAAUGUUGUAGAUGGAUAGAAGGUGAAAUAAAGAAGAAAUUAAAGAAGUUAACGUAUGCCUAAAACGACCACCCAAAUGAAGAGAUGUGACCUAAAAAAUGAAACUAUAGAUUUAUAUUUGCAUGAUGACGUUGUGGGGCUACCGAUGUUGUAAUGAAAAAUGCAGAUUUUGCAUCCCUUUUAGUGGCAGUUUGUUAAUUUUUGGGUAUUUUAGCCUAAUUUCUUCGUUAUGACUCGAAAUUGGUCCAUUUUAGCUCCAUUUUCUUCUUAACAUUCGAUUUUGCCUAUUUACUACUUGAGACGUAUAAAAUAAUAAUGAAGUAAACACAUAAAAUAUAGAAUAAAAUACACUUUUGUUUGAGGUCUAUGUUUAUUCGGUCUCAAAAGUUUCAAAACCAAGCACAUUAGUCCCUCACGUUUGCAAAACAGUUAUGAAUGGUCAUUAACUUAACUGUAAUUGAAUGAAAUGGUUGUUAGACCGUUAUGUGCUUAUAUGGAGGCUCUUUGUUCUGAUAACCUAUCAAUUAUAUUGGAUUAAUUGGAAAAUGAACUACAAAUAAAAGUUUAAAAAUUAAUAAAGGCCACAUGUGCCCUAAAUUGCAUUUCAGCAUAGGCUCCCGAAUGAUAAUUACUGUAUAAACUUGCCAUCUGCGCUGCAACUUGUGUCAACUUUCAAAGUCCAUCCCCAUCGCAACUUAUCGGGAAAAUUAAGGUUCAUCAUUAUUUCAAAGCAUUCACUUCCAGAGGAAUUAGAGAUGUGUUAACGUGUUUACCAAUAAGCGAUGUUCCUAAUGAACAGAUUUCAACAGAAAAAAAGAUUUUUUUCUAAACAAUAAACUGAGUUAAUAACCACAACUUCAACCCAAAUUAAAUCAUUUAAGCCAUAUUAAUCAACUUUUAGGUACGAUGACCUCUAAAACUCCACUUAUCUCAAGGAGCUUCUGUUGGCAUAAACACUUUAAUAUGCUAAAUUGGUGGGAUAUAAAAAAGACUGAGUCCUUAUUGUUUUGGUAUAUUCAAGACCAUAGCCCUAAGUCUCUUUAUAUACUAGUUCAAUUAGGAUUUCCAUUAAGUCCUAAUCAAUAUAGGAAAAGGCUUCUACCCGUUUAAUCCAUACUCAAUUAGGAAUCUUAGGCCUUAAUUAAAUAGAUCACAUAAUAUGCAUAACUUAAUAAAAUACUCAAUGUGAUAAAUUAUUAAUUCACAUACAUAGCCCACAGUUUAAUUAGAUGUAUUAUUUAAAUAUGUCUAACAGUCUUCCACUUGGGCUGUGUUUGUAUUUCUGAUAUAAUUAAAUCACACAAACUUUAAGUGCCCAUAAACCAGUUAUUUUAAUAAUAAAAUUUCUCUUUAAUUCAUUCUGGUCCAUCUCUUGUAUCAAAAUGGAACCAAUGCGGCUUUUAUCACUUUCUUUGUAACUAAACCUUCCUUAAUUACCAAUUCUAAUACACUCAAUGACAUAGAUCAAGUAUGGAUGGAUUACAUGGAAACUACAUGCAAAGUGAUCUAGAUCACGUCUAUUUCCAACUAAGCCAAAUUCUUUAAUCUGUUUCCUUAAUCACUAUGAACGCAAUAUCUGGAUGCGUGCAAAUUUAAACAUUCAUUAGGCUUUCAAUAGUCGAUGCAUAAGGAACCUUCUGCAUCUCAUCAAUCUCGAGUGUGGUCUUGGGGUAUUGACCUAAAUGAAAUUUAUCAACUUUAGCAUGGGUAUCUCCAGAUGCAUAAUCUUUCAUGUCAAAUCUACUAAAAAAAUUUCAAUGUAGUUCUUUUGUGAUAAUCACAAAAAAAUCCAAUGUAGUUCUUUAGAGAUAAUCUCAAAAUACAAAAGAAACAUCACCAAGAUCCUUCAUCUCAAAAUUCCUUUUGAGAAAUCUCUUAGUAUCAUGCAAUAAACCUACAUCAUUACUUGCUAUGAGUAUGUCAUCAACAUAUAACAACAGGAAAGUAGAUUUACUCCUACCGAACUUGUGAGAUACACAAUCUUCCACUAUAUUCACCUCAAAACCAAAAGAGGCAAUUACUUCAUAAAUUUUUUGAUACCAUUAACAAGAGGAUUGUUUGAGACCCUAGAUAGAUUUCUUCAAUUUGCAGACCCUAGACUUUGAAUUAUUAGAUACAAAGUUUUCUGGUUGUGCCAUAUAAAUUGUCUUGUCAAUAUUUUCAUUAAGAAACAUAAUUUUCAUAUCCAUCGGUGUAGCUCUAAAUCAAAGUGAACUACCAAUGCCAUGAUUAUCUUAAAAGAGUCUUUCGAUGAAAUCGGAGAAAAAGUCUCUUUGUAAUCAAUGCAUUCAUUUUGAGUAAAAAAUAAAAGUCUCUUUCAUAUAUAUAAAAAAUACAAGAAAAACUUUGAGCAUCAUUUGACAAUUGGCUCCACAAACAACCAUGUCUAUAAAAAAAAGAAAAAAAAGAAAAUCAAUUUUAAACAAAAAAACUUUUAAUAUCCAUUUAAUUUAUUAAUUUACUUUUCACAAAAUCUCAAAAUAUCUCAUUUAAUUUACUUUAUUUAUUUUAGAAAAGUAAAAAUUUAUUUUAUUCACAUAAUAUCAAAUUAUAUUUUAUUCUUAUUAAUUUUUUUUAAUUUAUGGUACACCUUGGGUCUAUAAAUAGAAACUUUUGUCAUUUGGGAAGAAAAGAGAGUUUCUGAAAAAGAAAAUUUUCUGGGAAAGAAAAUUGCUUGGAGAAAAAAUUCAUUAGAGUGAGUCUCUAGGAAGAAAAUUUUUAGAGCGAAUAUCUUCUCCAAAAAAGUUAUGCAAAAUGUGGGUUUUUCUUAUUUUUUUCAUUACCUUAUUGUCGUUACUGAUCUUUUUUAUUUUAUUUUUUUACUUUAUCUUAAACAAAUCAAAUCCAAUGUUGAAAUAAACUUAGUUGGUGGUUGCUUUUGGUAAGGAUUUAAUGUCAAGUAUCCCCAUCUCAUACAAAUAGUAAUUUUUUUUGGAUUCAAAUCCUUAUUUUUCUUUUCUUCUCAUUUUAAAAGAUAGAGAGAAAGAAAAUAAAAAUAUAAGAAAAUUUUAGUAUUUUCUUACUUUUUUUCCUUUCUUUUAUCAUCAUUUUUUAAAAAAUAAAAUACUUUAGCCUUUUUCUUCUCUCUAAAAAAUAGGGAGAAAAAAAACGACAUCAGAAAAAUGUUCGUUUUUUUAUUUACUAGUAUUUCAUUACUUUCUUCUCGAAUCUCAACUCUUAACCUUUAUUUUCCUUCCUCUAAAACAUUGAAGAAAAGAAUGAGGAAUGAGAAAAUUUUAAUUUUAUUAUCAUUAUAAUUAUUAUUAUAAUAAUAUUAUUGUUGUUGUUAUUAUUAUUAGUAAUUAAUUAUAAUUAUCAUUAUUAUUAUCAUCAUGAUCAUUAUUUUUAUUAUUUUUAUUUCUUUUAUGGUGCCGUCACCCUCUACUAUUUUUCUUUCUUUCUUUAUUAAUUCUUUUUUUUCUUUCCUUAUUUUAUCUAUUGUUAUUAUGUUUCGUUUCUUUUACUUAUUCACGUUACUAUUGUAAUAUUUAAUAGUAAUAUUUAUUGUUAUAUUAACUUAAAUGUAACUUGUUGUAUUUAAAUUUUUUAAUGUUUUAAAAACAUUCCAAUUUAAAAAAUUUUAUGUUCUAAAAUAAAAGUUCUUUUUAAUUCUUUAGCAAAUUUGUCUCUAAUGUUAUAAAUUUUUUUAUGCUUUUUAAAACUUCAAAAUUUUAUCUAGGAUUUUAUAAGGUUUCCUAAAUUAAUCUUUUCUAAUAACUUAGUAGUUUUCUUUAAAUAAAGUCAUACGAGGGAAUCUAGAAAAUUUGGGAGUUCGAUUUUUUAGAAUUCUUGAGGUGAUGGAUCAAUAUUUUUGGGAGUCCGAGAUUUAAUCCCAAGAAAAAAUGAAUUUAAUCGAAGUUUUAAAAAAAUUUUAUUCAAAGACUAGCCUAUGAUAGAUUUUGAGAAAUUGUAAUAAUUUCUCAUUUUCUUAAGGUGAGAAAAUUUUCUUAAUAUAUAGUCUAAUUAAUGGAAUAUUAUUCCACUUAUUUUAUGAGAUCAUUGCUUCAAAUAUUGGAGUAAUGGGUAAAAUAAGACAUUAGUUUUAAAAUAAAUUAAAAAAUAUUUUUAAUUCAAGAUUUGAAAUUUGACUACCAUUUUUUUUAAAUGAGUGUAAAGAAAAGCGGAAGCAAAAUUGUAGUUUGUAGAGUCCCUAUUAUAGCAAGUCAUGAUCCUUCUUGUCGUUCGCCAACUUGCCAUUCCCUUUACGUUUGCCCGAAAAAUAAUACAUAAACAAGAGUGACUAUAAAAAUGUCUAGUAAGGGACCCACUACUAGUCCAUCUACGGGAACUGUUAAAUUCCCAUUAGAGAGUACCCUUUAGUCAUAUAAGUUUUGUGAUGUUGAAGGAACACACAUCUGAGUCUACUGAUUCUGUAGGAACACUCAUUAGUUUGUUGAUCCCUUAGGAACAUACAUUCGUCUAGUAAGUCUAAUGAUCCCGUGAGACCAUACAUCAGUCUACUGAUCCCAUAGGAACACACAUCAGUUAUAUCAGUCGAAAGGUGGUGAUCCCGAGGGACACUAUACAUAUAGGGUACACAUCCCAAUAACUAAAGCUAACAGACACCAACAGUCCAAAGAGCAUGUAACAAUCAACUUGGUCCAACAAUAUGUUGGAAUUUAUGUCCUAAAACUCGUAGAUUGUAAAUAUAAUCCAUUAACCGUUAUUUUUUUUAUCUUAAAUGAGUUAGCACUAGAAUGAGUUGAAUUAUGUUGUUUGAAGGUUAAGAUGUGGUUGAGGAAUUGAGAUCAACUUUAAAUCUUGGGGUAAGUUUGAUUGAGUUGGUUGCCUAAUUAAACAGUAAAGUGAUAGAUUGGAAAAUUUAUUAAGUUUAAAUUUUGUGUAUGUUUAGGGCGGAGUUUAUUAGGAGGAUUUGACUGUCAAUCAGAGGAGUACUUUUCUUUUGCAAAUCUCCAGGUAAGAGAUUUCCCCUAUAUUACCAACUUUAAAGCUUCAUGUUUAGUGGUGUAACUAAGAGAGAUGUGAUAUUUGAGAUAACUGUAUACUUGGUUACUUCGGUAACCCUUUCAUGAUUGAAAUGCAGCACCAUUGGUGUAUGAUAUGAUUAUAUGUUAUUUUGAGUUAUGUCUGUUUAGCUAAGAUGUUGGUAUUAUGUUGAGCAUGUAUAGCCUAUAGUGUCCUAUUAUCUUGCUUGUUAGAGUCGUACCACGAGAGGUCCAUUGAGGUCCCCUAUAUAUACAUAUGCAUGUGUGACUAGUUGAGAUGUGAUUCGACGAGAUCACUUACAGCUCGACUCUCUUUUAAGGUGAUUUCUUUGGGUCCACCGAGAGCCUAGUCCAAUCCCAAUGGGACCACUGGAUAGUAUGCAUUCGGGAGCACAAUAGCGUGUGGUACUUUAUUAGAGGACUCUAACGAGAGACUAAUAGACAUAUAGGAAGACCAUAGUGGGCCUCUUACUGAGUAUAAAUUCAUACUCACUCUUUUAGAUGUUUAAUUUUCAAGCAAGGGGAGAGGCAAGGGCAAAACUAGCGAAUGAUAAGAAGUGACCAUGGAUCAUCAUAGGGGACAGUUCAGUUUUUCUUCCGCAUUUAUAUAAUGGUAUCUUUUUAAUCUUUUUUUCCUUUUAAGUUUGAGUAAUAUAUUUUUUUACAUUUUUAUUCAGUGGAACACUUCAGGUAGAUUUAUAUUGCGUUGGAUAGAAGACUGGAAUUUUUAUUUAUUAAUUUUUUCAUUCGUAUCGAAAAAUUUUAUAUCCCAAAAAACUGUGCAAAUUACAAUCCAGAGUCCGGUCAACACAAUUUGUUGAAAGUCUUGUUAGGGCCUUAUUUUACUUCCCUGUAUAUUCAUAACAUACAAACAACCAUUCCUCGUAGUAAAAUCAUCUCUCUUAGAUGGCACUUUGAACAUACAAUCACAAUAAUCAUCCAAAAACAAAAGACACUUGUAAUUGUCUAUUUUCAAUAUAACAAUGCAACAAAUCUCCUUAUAACACCACUAAUCUCUAACUCCCUACAUUUCAAAAUUCUUACAAAGCAAACACCAUUAUUCACUAUAAACAAACAAACAUCCAUUAAUCCUUCUCAUUCAUACCAUUUCAACACAAAUACAUUAUUAUUACUGGAAACAACUUUAAUAUUUUUCUUCCACACCAAUGGCAUUUCAAAGACUUAUGCCAUUAUUGUUAGUUCUCUUGUUGCUAACCUCCUUCAACGUGUCGAUGGCAAAGAAAAAAAGGCAAAAAACAAAAACGAGAAGCCAGAUUUACCAGAUCCCAACAAUCCUAUUGUCUCGUUCGAAAAGUUUAGAGUUGAAAUUCACAAUGACUUGAAUAUGUACUUGUUAGAUAGUCGUUGCUACUCAAAAGACGACAAUUUCGGGUUGCACGUGUUGUUCCCAGAUGAACAACAAAAUUGGUCUUUUAAAGGGAAUUGGGAUGACACAACGACUUUUCAUUGUAGGUUAGAGUAGGAAAUUGGGUAUUUAGAAUUUGAUAGUUUUAAAAGUGAUCCUUCUUUUGUGACAGAUUUUUGUUGCAACAAAACUUGCAUUUGGAGUGCAAGACAAAGUGGGGUUUAUUUGAAUGAUGCAAAUAACCAAGAAAUCUUUUUUGAUUACUGGGAAAUGCUUAGAUAGGAUAAGAGGCCAACAAUUGAUUGUCUGUGGCCUUGUAAUUAUUUUUAUUGAAUUUACACAUUAUUCUAAUUCAUAUAUUUAUAUAUAUUGAUCAAUGAUUAUUUUUUUACAAUUACAUAUGUUUUGUAAUUGUCACAAGUCAGAGUUUGAUUCAUAUAAAUAAAGUGAUUGGAACUGUUGUUGAUGAUUUGUAAUGUUGAAGUGACAAUUAUUGUCUCAGUGGAAAUUGUUUUCCAUCCCAUAUAGUGAAUUAUUGAUAAAUUUUGAUGUUAUGGGAUUUGGAAGUUAACACUGUGAUGCAUGAAUUCUCAACCAAACUUAUAAAAAUUAUUGUGUCUUACCUUUUAUUUUUUCUCUUUCUUUCUUUUAUUUUGCAAAACUUACAAAAAUUAAAAAAAAUGAGAAUGCAGCCAUCCAUCUAAACUAGUCUAAUUACUACAUUCAUUUAGAAAUUUAUAAAUUAAUAAAGAUGAGUUAGAACGGGAUAUAUAUAUAUAUAUAUAUUUUGAUAUAAUUAGACUUUGAUCAGUUUAAUAAUACUUGACAUAAAUAGUAGAAUGUCAAUGUAUAAUAAUAAUGCUCCAAAUGUAUCAAGAAGACCCAAAACAAUUGGGAUGAGUUAGAAAAUAGUAUAUUUAUUUUUUCAAUAACCUUUGUCUUGACUUAUAAUAUAAUAUUUUUCAUAUGACCCACCAAUUUGAGUAACAUUAAGAUAUAUUAGAAUCGUGAUUUUGAGGUUGUAGCUGUAGAUUAUCCAAAUAGUAUAAUGAUAUUUAGUAAACCAAAAUCCAAUCAUAGAAGCAUUAUUAAUUUAAUUAAUUAAUUAAAAUUGAGAUAAAUGGUCAAAAUGGCAACAUAAGUUACAAGUUUGAUCACACUCUGCUCUAUAUUAUCCAACUUAAUCCUAAGAUGAAAUAUGACGUUUGGAACACAAUAUGUAUCAAAACUUUUCUUAUCUUUCAAUUUAAAAACAAUCGUCCUUUUAUAAUUUGCCCUAUUGAACCAAUAAGUGGACCUUAUAACCAAAGGUUUAUUAUCUCAAUCACACAUCUCCUCCUAUGUGUCUCACUUAGGGUCUAUUGAACAAAAGUUUAAUUUCCUAAAUUUUUAAUAUUUUGUUUAAUUAUUAAUUUUCUUUUUUGAAAUUAAAUGCAAGGGAUGAGAAUUUGAAUCCUUAAGACCUUUUAUUCACAUAUAUUACAAGUGUCGGUUGAACUAAGUUCAAGUGGAACGAUUGUUCAAUUAUUUAAUAAGAAGUUAUUAUUGUCCAUUAUUAAUUCAAUUGCAUAUUAUUGUCCAUAAAUAUGUUAUUAUAUUCUAAAUGUCUAUAAUCAAUUAUUAUACGUCACUAAGUCUGGUCAUUGCACGUGAUGCACUCAUCGUAACUCUCUAUAUAUCAUAUGCUUUAUUUCUGGACGAUGGGUCAUGGGUCAUGAUCAUUGAAUACACAAAAUGCUCACAAUGUACCUCUAUAUCACGUAAUUCCUAACUCCUCAAUGAGUACAAGUUUUUCUACUGCUUGCCCAAGUGCAAGCGAAACAGUAGGUUUAAUUGGGUGAUCUAGGGUUGAACACAUAGGAUUGUUUUAGAUGUUAGUUCUAGAUUUCACUAUUCAUUUGGGCGUGUUGAAAGAAUCAAAUAAUAACAAUUGUAAGAAUUGUCGAAUUACACGGCGAGAGUAAAGGGAAAGUGAAGAUAAAGAUACAAUAACGCAACUAACUUGUAUUAAUGGACAAUAACGCAACUAACUUGUAUUAAUGGACAAUAACGCAACUAACUUGUAUUAAAGGAAUGAAGGCAAAAAUGUCCCUGUGUUACCCUUCGUAUAAGUAGAGAGACAACUAUGAUACAAUCUAACUCACUAAGACAUACUUAUGAUUAAGGCAUGCUUCUCUCGAAGGCAUAUAUGUCACACAUAACUGCUUUUCAGAGAUUCGUAUGACCAAAUAUAGCUAGGUGAAUUAUAUCUAGAAAGACUACUUAUGAGUUAUGUAGUAUUUCGUGAUUAAGGACUAGUACCUCUCGGUAUCCAAUACCCACACUUGCCCUCCUUUCGGAGUUCAAAUGUUAGAAACACUCGCGAUGAGGCAAAGUUCCUCUUCGCGUGCACUAGUUAAGUUCAAGCUAAUAUCCCUUUUUUGGGUAAUUAGCAACUCCUGCUAGCCAAUCAAUAACAAAAGCGUAAUUAACACGUUAAAAAUUAUAAGUGACUAUUCUUAUCAUGACCUAUCACCUACCCAAACUACUGAUAACACAUUGACUUGUAGAGGAAGAGAGAAAUUGAAAUGAACAACUAUGUUUAUAUAAAACUACAAAGAAUGUAGGUCAUAGACCAAUAUACAAUAUAUACAAUAUUGAAGUACAAAACAUGAAAGAAACAACAAAUGAAAGACAAAGCAAAUGAAUUAAUUAUUACAAGUUUAGAGAUUCGACAUUAGAUAAUCUUUUUCUCCAUCUACACUCUUCAAGCCCCUUUCUGGUUUAUUCGGGUCCCCCCUCUUGGUUGGUGGAGACAAAAUGCUUGUAUAGUCUGCUUUUCGGUGGCAACUUCUAUUCCUCUAAGUGUGUCAAUGUUGUCACUUGGCCUUGUGAGGUCACAUCAUCUCAACUACCAUCCUUGUCUUGUAAUGAGCUUCUUGUGUGAUGUCUUGGUUCCUUGCCUGGGGUCAUUUAUCGCCAAGCUAGUUCCUAUCGCGUAGCUUUUGCACAACAUAUCCUGUGUAAUUUGCUCCUUUCUUCUUUUCGCACUUAUUUCGUGUUUAAACAUGAUAACCGCGUAAACCAUGAAUGACACUUAUGCAAGCUGUAUUUCUAAAUAUUUAUGCAUUUACAACACAAGUCAUGCAUUCUGAUCAUCUUCUUAUGCAUUUUGACCUCAUUAUUCUAAUAGGAAAGGGUUAUAAUAAUGCUCAUUUCUUAUGCAUUUGGAGAAUCGUCCUCAUUAGAACAAGGCAAUUCAAAUUUGAAACAUCGACAUAAAGGUAUGUUUAUUCGGGAUUUAAUUAUUUAUGCAAAGUCUAUUUACAUUCUAAGGGUCAUUAGAGAAAUUAUGUUAUGUUAAUUCCACUGCAUCUAGCCCUAGUUCGUUUUCCAACAAUUCUGUCACAAAUAUUAGAGAUGUCACAACAUGAAAGUUGGUAACCUAGUUUAGUGAUACAACAACUACGUUUAGAAGGUAGUAUGCCCAAAGAAAGAUCAUGCAAUAAUAUGAUCAAGUUAAGCGAUCACAACAUUGCACUUAAUUAUCUGGAGACAAUCUUAGAGUGAUAACCAUAGAGCUUAGCUCAUCUAAGUACCUAAUGUAACAACCCAACUUUCUAACUAAGUUGAAGUCAUUAAUUUUGACAAAGAGACCUUGAUUGUCACAAAAUAUAGUAAAAUUCUUUUUUGAAAUCAUACGAUCAAAGGAAAACAACCUUAAGUCGGGCCCUUAUUUCAAAUUAACCAAAACUUUAAAAGUAUUGUUUACAAAACAACCAUUCGUAAACUCAGUUCCAUCACAAAAUUAAUAAAUAACCUCAUGUACUAAGAAAAACAGGAAAAACAUAAAGCGAAAGCAUUUGAAAGAUGUUCCCCUAUGGCAAUCAUGUCUCCUUCUUGUCCCUCGUCGGUUUACCUCAUUUGUUACCUUUGCCUGAAAUAGUUAAACAUAAAAGGGUGAGUAUAAAUAUAUUCGGUAAGAGACCCACUACUGGUCCCGUUAGGGAAAAAAUAAACUCUUAACUUCCUAUGGAGUACCAUGUACAGUCACAGUCUUGUGAUCGCGUAGGAUACACAUAAUCAGUCUUACGCUCCAAAGGACGCAUAAAUCAGUCUAGUGCUCUCGAAGGAUGCACAAAAAGGGUGGUGAUCACGUAGGACACCUGCAAGGUAACUAUUCAAUAGGAAACUAAUAAUUUUUCCCCUCAGUCCAUUCUAAACAUCUUAUCAAUCAACCAUAAUGCAGUAAAAUUACCUCAACACAUAAUCCCUUCACUUAUUAUCCUAACCGUCAACUUAUUGCAUUUUAGCCCAAGUCAGUUAAUAACAUAUCAACACAACAGUCAAACAAACUAAGUAAUCAUAACAUCCCUUCAAUUCACUAGCACAUAACCAUACUUGGUAUAAUUUACACCUAGUCCACACGAGAGCCAACCAGUUCACAUCCACAUAUUAUAUAGGCAAUAUACUCAGUUUUGCAGUCGUUUCAACAUCCAUAUGUAUAUAUAUAUAUAGUUCCAGUCAAACACAACAUACAUUCAAUCUCAAGUCUACAUCAAACUAUAUAUAUCAUAACUGACAUCCAUUCUCAGUUUAGGGAUAACAUACAGUCAACAUAUUCUGCUUUCUAGGUGAGUCCAGUAGUAGAAAAUCUCUUACUAAUACAUAAUCUGACCUUAACGUAACGAUUUCUCAAAUAUGUCUAAUUAAAGUUUGGGCUAUGUAUGUGAAUUAAUAAUUUAUUACAUUGAGUAUUUUAUUAAAUUAGGCAUGUUGUGUGAUUUAUUUAACUAAGGCCUAAGAUUCCUAAUUGAGUGUGGAUUAAAUGAGUAAAAGUCUAUUCCUAAAUUGAUUAUGACUUAAUAGGGAUCCUAAUUGAACUAAUGUAUAAAGAGACUUAGGGCUAUGGUUUUGAAUAAACCAAAACAACAAGGACUCAGUCUUUGUUAUAUCCCACCAUGAGAAAGAUCCCACUAAGGGCAUUCAGGGUUUUGGUUGAAGAAGACAAUAGCCAUUUUAUAGCCAUUAGACAAAGCCAUUUUACAAACAUCAUCAAUGGAAUUUGAUAUGUAACUUAUUCUUGAUAAUUUAGCAUGAAUGAUCUUGGGUUAAAUCUAUUAUAUAGAUUUAAUUAAAGUAUUUAUGCCAACAGAAGCUCCUUGAGAUAAGUGGAUUUUUAGAGGUCAUUGUACCUAAAAGUUGAUUAAUAUGGCUUAAAUGAUUUAAUUUGGGUUGAAGUUGUGGUUAUUGACUCACUUUAUUGUUUAGAAAAAACCCUUUUUUCUGUUGAAAUCUGUUCAUUAGGAACAUCGCUUAUUGGUAAACACGUUAACACAUCUCUAAUUCCUCUGGAAGUGGAUGCUUUGCAAUAAUGAUGAACCUUAAUUUUCCCGAUAAGUUGCGAUGGGGAUGGACUUUGAAAGUUGACACAAGUUGCAGAGCAGAUGGCAAGUUUAUAGAGUAAUUAUCAUUUUCGGAGCCUAUGCUGAAAUGCAAUUUAGGGCACAUGUGGCCUUUAUUAAUUUUUAAACUUUUAUUUGUAAUUCAUUUUCCAAUUAAUCCAAUAAAAUUAAUAGGUCAUCUAAACAAAGAGCCUCCACAUAAGCACAUAACGGUCUAACAACCAUUUCAUUCAAUUACAGUUAAGUCAAUGACCAUUCAUAACUGUUUUACAAACGUGAGGGACUAAAGUGCUUAGGUUUGAAACUUUAGAGACCGAAUAAACAUAGACCUCAAACAAAAGUGUAUUUUAUUCUAUAUUUUAUGUGUUUACUUCAUUAUUAUUUUAUACGUCUCAAGUAGUAAAGAGGCAAAAUCGAAUGUUAAGAAGAAAAUGGAGCUAAAAUGGACCAAUUCUGAAUCAUAACGAAGAAAUUAGGCUAAAAUACCCAAAAAUUAACAAAUUGUCAAUAAAACGAUGCAAAAUCCACAUUUUUCAUUAUAACACUGGUAGCCCCACAGCGCCGUCAUGCAAAUAUAAAUCUAUAGUUUCAGUUUUUAGGUCAUAUCUCUUCAUUUGGGUGGUCGUUUCAUGCAUAUGUCAACUUGUUUAAUUUCUUCUUUAUUUCAACUUUUUUGGAGUAGUUUGACAAUAUGGUUGAGACUUUUUAUCUAUGGGUUUUACUCUUGAUUUGUUGAUUAUUAUGAAUUACAUUUUUUUUUUGUUAUUGAUUGACAACUAAUGCUUGAUUCAUAUUUUAGGUUAAUGUAUAAUAUAGGUGACAUACAAUUGUCCAUUAAUCUCCACGAAGCAAUAAUGAGUUAUAUAGACUUGUGGUUUGUGGUUGAUAAAAAAGAGCAUUGUUCUAUUGACCUAAGAAAAAAAUUCAUAUUAAAUUUGUAAUUAGGCUUUCGCUAGUAGAAGUUUAUCCUAACGUAAUCCCAAGUGUAAUACAAUUGAUUAACUUGAUUAGGAUGCUUCUCAUCUAGUUAAAUUGAUGAAUUUGAUAUUUAGGACCAUUGAUUAGCUUUUCUAGGAUCAAAAUUACAUUUAUCUUUAUUAAUUUUUCUUGCACUUCAUUCACUUGAAUCUCAAACCACACCGAACACCCUCCUUUAUCACUUUAGCUAAACAAUUAACUUUGAGAAACUAAUCUUCAUGCUUCCUUGUAUUACUUAGUAGUAUAGGUAGUAUUGAUCGGUAUAGCUUAAAUUUCAUUUGUUUAGUUCAUUUACGGAUGAGAGUGAAAAUGCUACAUCACUAUCCUUCAAUCACACCUUUCAAAUUUUCUAUUAAUUAAUUAUUACCGUGAAAAAAAGGAAAAAAAAUGUCCUUUAUAAUUGUUUAUAUUUCUUUUAUAGCGACCUCGAUGCUGACUUUUCUAAUUUUUAAAACAAGAAACAGUCAACAUACAUCAAACCAUUAGAUUUUUAGACAAUCUAUUUCUUAUACUCUAUCCAUAUUAUGCACAAAAAAGAAAGAAAGAAAGAAAGAAAACAACCACCCAUUAAAUUUUUCAACAAACUUAACUAUUUUAAGCCUUUUCCACAUCAAAAACUUGUAUAAACACAUACACGUAACUCACAAGAACAUUGAAUCCUUUAGAAAUUGAGAGGAAACCAAAGUAGCAUUUUACAGAUUAGAUUAUUUCUUUCAAGCAAAAAUUAAACCUAUGCAUCAAAUCGUAUUAUUAUUGACAUGCCUCUUACUUAUCAUAUUUCGGCCAACGGUCGCAAGCAAAGAACAACGAUCGACCAGAUCUCUUAUUUAUAUCCCGAAGUUUCACCUAGAAAUUCGCAACGAGUUGAAAAUGUAUAUAAUGGAUUGUCAUUGUUGGUCGAAAGAUGACGAUUUAGGGUUACAAAUACUUCUUCCAGAUGAAAGGCAAAGUUGGCCCUUCAGAAGGAACUUUAUGGGAACACAUUAUUCCAUUGUAGAUUGGAAUGGGAAAGAGGGUUUAGGGAAUUUGAUGCAUUUUUUGUUGAUGAAGAUUUCGUUAAUCAAUUUUGUCCCAACUUUCUAUGUGUUUGGAUAGCCAAACAAGAUGGGCUUUACAUGCUGAAUGGAGCUGGUCAACUUGUUUUUCAUCAUCGUUGGAAAUUGCUCCGAAUUCCUUGUAACGAGGGUUUGACUCUUAUCAAAUUGGGUUUAUGGUUAAAUUAAUUAUUUGUCUCCAUUUAUUAUUAAUUCCACCUUGAAGAUUUUUCAAGUGUUAUUUAUUUUAAUAUUAUUUUUUAAGUUCGACAAAAACCUGAACUUUUAACCUUUUGGUAAAGGUAUGUGUAACUAAUUGUACGCUAACAAAACUUUUUGACGUGUGAUGUCGUUCCAAACAUGUCAAUAUUCAUUUAUCUUUGAACUUUGAAAAAUAUUAUUUAUUUAUUUAUAUAUUUAUUUAUGUAUUUGUAUAUUGUAGCUACAAGAAUGAGCUGAAUUGUUUACUUGGAUUAAGAAGCAACUAAAAUGAAUACUAAUUUCUUUUGUAAUCCUCAAGGGUUUUUAGAAUCUAUGGUUUAACUUUUUAGAGACCAUUACCAACCAACUACGUUGAACGCCACCAACUAACUACAAACGAUCAAUGUCGUUGAUUGUAACGACCAAACUUUUCUAACUAAGUCGAAGUCAUUAAUUUCAAACAAAGACCUGAACUUACACAAAAUAUGAAAUUCAAUUAAAAUCAAACUCUCAAGGAAAACAAAAUUUAAAUUCGAGUCCGUUUAAAAUAACCAAAAACUUUCAAAGAAAGGCUUACAAAUCAUCCGUUCGUGAAUUCAGUUAACCCACAAAGUUUUCUAAACAGUCUCGAGUACUAAAACGUAAUAAGAAAAUAAAACAUUAAACAGAAGCAAAUUAAAAUAUCCCUUAUGGCAAUCACGCUUCCUUCAUGUUCCUCGUUAGUCUGCCUCCUUUGUUAUCUUUACUUGAAAAUGUUAAAUAUGAAAGGGUGUGUAUAAAAAUACUCAGUACGAGACCCACUACUGGUCCUGCUAGGAGAAAAAUAAACUACUAACUCCCUAUGGAGUACCAUGCACAAUCACAGUCUUGUGAUCCCGUAGGAUACACAUAAUCAGUCGAACGCCCCGAAUGACGUAUAAAUCAGUCUAGUGUUCUGCAGAAACACAUAUCAGUCUAGUGCCCCCGAAGGACGCACAUAUCAGUCUAGUACUCCCGAAGGAUGCACAUAUCAUUCUAGUGCUCCUGAAGGAUGCACAUAUCAGACUAGUGCUCCCAAAGAAUGCACAAAAAGGUGGUGAUCCUGUAGGACACCUACAAGGUAACUACCCAAUAGGAAACUGAUAAUUUUUUCACUCAGUCCAUUCUAAACAUCUUAUCAGUCAACCAUAAUACAGUCAAAUUACCUCAACACAUAAUCCCUUCACUUAAUAUCCUAACAGUCAACUUAUUGCAUUUUAGCCCAAGUCAGUCAGUAACAUAUACAUCAGUCAAACAAACUAAGUAAUCAUAACAUCCCCUCAGUUCACUAGCACACAGUCAUACUUAAUAUUAUUUACACCCGAUCCACACGACAACCAACAAGUCCACAUCCACAUAGUGUAUAGACAACAUCCACAGUUUGCAGUCAUUUCACAUCCAUAUGUAUAUAUAUAUAUAUAGUUCCAGUCAAAACAUAACAUACAUUCAAUCUCAAGUCUACUUCAAACUAUAUAUAUCAUAAUUGACAUCCAUUCUCAGUUUAGGGAUAACAUACAGUCAUAUUCUACUUUAUAGGUGAGUCUAAUAGUAGAAAAUUCCUUACCUCAACAUAACUCAAUUUCUCAAACAAACUAUAUCAAACGAAAGACACCUAAUCACAAAGAUAUGAAACUCAAUUACUUUCACGAUACACACUCCACUUAAUUUCCUCAAUGUCAAUUCUAACUUACCGAAGUAUUGGGGAACCAAACUUCAACAAGCCACAAAUUUGGUUGUGAAUUAAAAGAACUCAAUGUCACUUUCAACACCUUCAAGAAUCUAUCAUUUGAACCAAUUAACCAUCGAAAAUUUACAAUGCAAAACCAUGAAUCCUACAAUUUUCAUUCUUACCACAACUACCCAGAGUAUGACAAAAACUAGAAUGAUAGAAGGAAUGAAAUCUGCACGUGUAAACCGGGUUGGGGAAUCGACAACAGCUAUUUCACAGUUGGCAGACGAGGAUGUGGCACGGUAUACUAUGACGUGCAUUUGUCGGAUUGUGAACGGGGACAGAUGCAAUCGAAACGUCAAUCUGGCUUCAACGACCGACCUGCAGCUUGCAAACAGACGAUUCACAGUGGAGAGAUGGUGUACGGUGGAGAGACAGCAUACAGACAAUUGGCGACUCUAAAUCAUGUGUAGGGUAAUUUUGCUCAUGAUUUUCCAACUAACGAGAAGCAUAAGCAACCACCCUACCUUGCUGCAUCAAAACGCAACCCAGUCCUUUCUUAGAGGCAUCGCUGUAUAUCACAUAAUUACCACAUCCAUCUGGCACCAUAAGGACCAGUGUAGUAACGAGUUUCUUCUUCAUAAACAACACUGGUGCUCCCCAAGGUGACACACUAGGUCGAAUAAAACCCUUGUCCAGUAGUUCCUGCAACUGGACCUUCAGCUCCUUCAAUUCCGCUGGCGCCAUUCUGUAUGGGGCUCUUGAUAUGGGACUAGUAACUGGUUCGAGCUCUAUGGUGAAAUCAACCUCUCUGCAAGGCAGAAGUCCUGGAAGCUCCUCUAGAAAAACAUCGGGGUAUUCCCUUACCACUGGCUUAGAUGAUAAAGAUAUACUUUAGGCCCAUUGGUGUCCACAACACCAGCCAAGAUACUUAAAGUACCCUGGUCAAACAACUUACUAGCCUUCAUGACUGAGAUAACUUUGGGUAGAACCACAGUUCCUGCCCCCUUAUACUUAAAACUAGUUGCCUUGGGAGGGUUAAAAACUACCUCCUUUUGGGAACAAUCUAUGCUUUCAUGGUUAGCGGAUAGUCAAUCAAUGCCUAAUAUUACAUCAAAAUCACGCAUGUCCAAUACUAAUAAAGUUACAUCUAAAACAUGCUCUGCUACUUCUCGCUGACAUGCUUUUAUCUUUUCUCUCGACAACAUAAUUUCUCUAGAUGGAGUAGAAACAGACAAUAGAUAACUCAAGGGUUCUACUUCUAAAUUCAUAUGUUGUACAAACAUUGAGGAUAUAAAAGAAUGAGAGGAUCUCGAGUCAAAUAAUACUAAAGCAAGGUGUUCUAGGAUUGGGAGUGUACCUGUCACCACUGUGCCAUCUCUCUCGGCCUCCUGCCUAUCAGUGGCAAAAACUCUCCCCUAAGUGGUUGAGGAAGUCUAGUUUGCAACAACUUCGAAUGAUUUCUAAGGGCACUUAUCAACUAGAUGCCCAAGUUUCCUGCACUUGUAACAUACUCCACUUCCUGCUAGGCAACGACUAGAGUGAGGUCUUCAAUAAUUAGGACACAUGGGUAAUACCUUCAAGGUUUGGGCUGCCUGAGCAGCUUGUUGUUGGUGCCGUUGGAACAAACCACCUGAUCUCAAAUUCCUCUGUGGUGUUGCUAUAGGCUGCUGCUCAUUCUUCUGUUUUUGUCUCGAAGUUGGCCCCUUUUCUACAGCCUUAGCCAACAUCGUCCUCUCAUGCAAACUCAGGUCUACUGCCAUGCGCAGCGCAUCAACCUGGGUGGUUGGUCUAAGGACGCAAAUGAAACCCUGGAUCUCUAACUUGAUACCUUUAACGAACUUGUCAACUCUCUCAACCUCGGUUCUCAUUAAAUCGGGUGCAAACCGGGAUAACGCGUCGAACUCCUGAUCAUACUCUUCCACUGUCAUGUUGCCUUGCUCCAGUUUUAAAAAGUCAUGACACUUGGCUUCUCUCACUGUGGCAGAGAAGAUUUUGGCAUAAAAGAUCUCCUUGAACUGCUCCCAGGUGAUCUUACUUAUAUCUCCACCCAACAUCCUCUCUAUGGACUCCCACAAUCCUCUGCCCCAGUCAAUCAGUAAGUACACAGUGCAUUGAACCUUCUGGUCAUUGGGGCACUUCAUAUAACGAAAGAUGGUCUCCACCAAACUCAACCACAUCUGUGCCUUGGUGGGGUCUGCUAAAGAUCCAUAGAAAGUUCGAGGGUUAUACUUUCUGAAGUCCCUCAGGUGGUUGGCUUCGGCUGAAUGCAUGUCUAGUAAGUGUUGGGCUACAACUGGGGUCUGAACUCCUAUAGCUGGGAUCUGAACACCUGCAGUCGGUGCCUGAACAUAAGCUAUCUGGGUCUGCGGAGCAAGCUGUCGUUGUGCCAUUACUUCAAAUAAUAAUUCUUUGUACCUUUGCUCCAUAGCAGCCAGGUCUGCUUGAGUAACAGGUGCAGUAGGGUUGACAGCUUGUACAGUUGGUUGUCCCCCGGGCUAUCCUCCAGGCUGUCCUCCAGAUUGUCUUUCAGAUUGUCCCGCAGGCUGGUUACGUGCAACUCCUCUACCUCCUCCACCACCUCUACGAAUACUUCUACGUGGCGGCAUUUUUUCUAAUUUCCACCAUUAAAAGUCUUUUACUACGAGUUCAUUCAUAACAUACUUAUCUAGUUUAAUUCAGGCAAGGUCAUAUGAAGAAUCUUAUAUUAUAUCAUAAAAUGUACCUGGCGAGUGACGAAGGACUGUAUUAACUAUAGGGAUAAAAUCAAAGACUUACAUCGUAAGUAAGUCUACAGAACCUAAAACUUGGCUCUGAUACCAACUGUAACACCCCACUUUUCUGCUAAGUGGGAGUCAUUACCAUUUAAAUAAUAUAGAUUUUUUUUUUCAAGAAAAAUCCUAAAAUCAAGUUAAACAUUUUUAAAUAGUUAAAAAAAUGAUAGAAAAAAAAUAUAUAAAGAGGAAAUAAAAUAAUUAAAUGAAUAACAAAAAUAACCAAUCCAAAAUACUAGUUUAGGCCCUUUAAAAUAGAAGAAAUACUUCAACAAGUAAACUUGAGUUUUGAAAUAAACCUCUGAAAAAUAUAAUCACUGAAAAUAAAUGCGAAAGAAACUGAAUUAUCCUCUAUAGUGAACCACAGUCACUUCUUAUCAUUCGCCAGCUUGCCCUUGUCUUUCCAUUUAAGGGAGUGAGUAUGAAUUUAUACUCAGUAAGAGGCUUACUAUUGGUCUCACUAUGUGUCUGUUAGUCUCAAGUUAGAGUCCUGUAAUAAAGUACCACACACUUUUGUGCUCCCGAACGCACACUAUCCAGUGGUCCCAUCGGGACUGAAUUGGGCUCUUGGUGGACCCAAAGGAAUCACCUUAAAGGAGAGUCGGGCUGUAAGUGAUUCUGUCGAAUCACAUCUCAACUAGCCACACAAGCAUAUAUAGGGGAGGACCUCAAUGGACCCCUCGUGGUACGACCCUAACAGGUAGACUAACAGGACACCAUAGGCUAUACAUGCUCAACAUAACAUAAACAUUUUAGCUCAAACAACCAUAACUUAAAGUAACAUAUAAUCAUAUCAUACACCAAUGGUGCUGGAUCUCAAUCAAAAAGGGUUACCGAAGUAACCAAAUGGUCAUAUUACAUCUCUCUUAAUUACACCUCUGAACAAUACAGAAAAUACAAGAUAUACAUGUAGCUUUAAAGUGAGUAAUAUAGGGAAAAUCUCUAACCUGAAUAUUUGCUAAAAUAUGAUAAUUCACUGGUUGACAGUCAGGUUCUCUCAACACUCAAUCCUAACCACGAUCAAAAUUUAAAAUUAAUAAUUUUGUUAACUAUCACCGUUCUGAUUAAUUAGCAACCAAACUUAUCCAACUUACCCGAAGAUUAUGGUUGAAUCCAACACAACCUUAAUUGGAAAAAUUCUCAGCUUCAAUUCCUCAAUUUAUGCUUGAACCUUCAAGCACAUACAUCAACUAGAUCCAUAACUUAACUUAUUUGGGACAAAAUAGGAAAUUAAUGGGGCUACCAAACCCAAUCAAUACUGACAAAACUCACCAAAGGCUCAAAUAUGUUGCAGACGGCUAAAACUAAAAGUGGCUUGGCUAGUAAGGACUUCGGCUCGGGUUUUGGGACGACUGGCUCGAGUACGACUUAUACAGAAGUGGCUCGCGUACAGCUCACAUGGAAGUGGCUUGGUUGCGCACAAUUAACUUCAAAAUAAGAUUUCAAAUUUCAGAAUUAACCAUAUAACAUAACAAAACACUUAACUUCCACAGUUCAAAUAAUUUCACACAUAACACUUAAAAAUUCAAUAUAACACAAAUUACAAGUUAACUUAAUAGUUUUGGGGUGCUACAUAAAUAUUCGAGAUCAGCUUAAAGGGUCUAUAGUAGAGGGAUAAGGUUGGGUACCUUAUCCUGGUAACACAAUGGGUUUGGGGAAUUUGAUGCAUUUUUUGUUGACGAAGAUUUCGUUAAUCAAUUUUGUCCCAACUUUCUAUGCGUUUGGAUAGCCAAACAAGAUGGGCUUUACAUGCUGAAUGAAGCUGGUCAACUUGUUUUUCAUCAUCAUUGGAAAUUGCUCCGAAUGCCCUCCUUGUAAUGAGGGUUUGGCUCUUAUCAAAUUGGGUUUAUGGGUUAAAUUAAUUAUUUGUCUCCAUUUAUUAUUAAGUCCACCUUGAACAUUUUUCAGGUGUUAUUUAUUUUUUAUUAUUUUUAAGUUCAACGAAAGUGUGACCUUUUAACCUUUUGAUUAAAGGUAUAUGUUGCAACUAUUGUACUCUAACAAAACUUUUUGAUGUGUGAUGUGACCAAAUAUCUCCACACGUCGUUCAAAACAUGUCAAUAUUCAUUUAUCUUUGAACUUUGAAAAAUAUUAUUUAUUUAUUUAUAUAUUUGUAUAUCGUAGCUACAAGAAUGAGUUAAAUUGUUUACUUGGAUGAAGAAGCAACUAAAAUAAAAUGAAUAUUAAUUUCUUUUGUAAUCCUGAAGGGUCUUUAGAAUUUACGGUUUACAAAGACUACUUUUUAGAGACGAUUACCAACCAACUACUAAGAAUAGUUUUUAGUUGAACGUCACCAACUAACUACAAACGUUCAAUGUCGUCAACCUUAAUUUGUCAUUUUACAGUGACCGCCAUCAACCACCUCAAACCUGAUAGAACUAAUUCAUGCACAGCGGAAAAAGAAUCGAAUUUCUACCCUAAUUGCCACAAUUAACAUCUAACCAUAAAUUAAUCAAAUUAGGGUUUUAAGAAGUAUUACCUUUGAAGUCUUCUUACCAAUUCUACCCGAGACCACCACUAGUGCUCAACUGCUAUCCUCUAGACAAAGAACCGGGUUGUGGGACCCAAUUUUGGUGUAGAAAAUAAUGGAGAUAAAAUGAGAUUGGAAGCUUUCUUUUUUUUCUUUUGUUGAGAUUAUGAAAAUGAUAAAAGAGGCAAAAGUCCUUCAACAUUUGAAAACAUCUCUAUUUAUAGCCUAAUUACAUGCAAAAAUGCAUGCAAUUCAAUUGCCAAAUCUCAACACCUAAUAUUCCACUAACAAUUAUUGGAACUUAGUGGGCUAGGUGUCUAUAUCUCAUAUAGCCACAUAUCCCACUAAGAGUUAGUGGGAUUAUCCAACAAAAUGUUGGAUUUUCCCACUAACUUAGUCCAAGGGUAAAAUGGUCAUUAGAUUUUUCUAGUCAAAAGUCAAACUUUGACUUUUCUAAGUCAAAAGUCAAUAUUUUGACUUUUUACCAUUUUGUCCGUCUUGACUAAUUCCAACCUCCCGAGCAUGAAUCCGCAUUCAUUUUUCCAAAAUUCAAAUCACAUUUGAAUAUAAUGCCGGUCAAAGUUUGACUUUUCAAAGUCAAAAGUCAACAUUUUGACUUUUUACUAUUUUUUGACCAAUUCCGAGCUUCUUAGUAUGAAUCCGCAUUCAUACUUAUAGUAUGUAGAACAUAAAGCUCUAUUUCUAAUUAGAAGACCGACGACUAUAUCACUAUAUUUGUCGGUUUCCCUUUCUUCUCCCAAUUCGAACAAUUCGACUUAUUUCAUCACACUGUUCUAAGUUUAAUCCAUAUGAGCUAGCAGAGGAACCUAAUGGACCUAUAGAUCAUGGGCUCCAACGAUUCAAGAUUAACUAGCUAAACUCUUUUAAACCGAGUUAAUCAACAUUCGUUAACUAACGGGUCACUCCACUAAAGUCUCGUAGUUGCACUCCCCUCACUAUAGAUAUAUUUGUGUCCAUUUGAUAAAACCAUAAUCAGUAAGUUAAUCCUUCACAGGUUGCUCGUAACCUUGGCUGGGUCAAAAUACCGUUUUACCCCAAGAUUACAUCUUGCUCCUUAAGUCCCACUAAUCCACUAUUGAACAAUUGGUUUAAGGUUCAACCUAUAAACUUAAUCCCUCUCGGGCCAAUGAGAGGGUGGGGCCCCUUGUUCAAGACUUGGAUUCAGUGCUUAAGAGAGCAACCUAUCUACUAACCCUAAAGCGGGUAGGAGUGAAUUCCAUCUUGUACCCUAUGUUCCCAGCUGUCCACCCGAUCUUACCCCUGAAAUGGGAGGCUUAUUGGCCAACGCUGAUGAGCUGCCUCACCUAUGCAGAUCUAAGGAUAAUCUCGUAUGAACAGGAGUUCAUAGUUAACUCAGGAUUAAGACUAAGUUACCUAGGUCAUCAAUAAUUGAGAUAGUCAGUUUUAAACAGUAAACGGUGUUAUAACGUAAAAAUGACUAAUUCAUGGUUCAGUCUUAUGUAAACAUUUUACAUAGGAUGCCCCCACUUUCAUGUCUCUACAUGAACGAUUAGGAUCACAUCGUUUGUACUACAAAGUGGGCCGCAUCCAUAGUUUCUCUAAAUAAGGCGCCCAACCUUUAUUUCAUAUACUAUAGACUAUUUAGGCUAUAUACUCGAACUUGAUCCACGUUUAUGUUUACACAUAAAGUUCAAGUUUAUUCAAAAAUAGCCUUGGAACUUGAUUUAUUGGAUUUAAGAUUAUAAUAUUUAAUUUCUCAAUAACAACUUUAUUGAACAGAAUAUGAUUUACAAACUACGAGUUUUAGGACAAAAUUCCAACAAAACCAACAUCCUCGAUGAUCGUUAACCAACUUUUAUCGAAAUCUCCACGGAUAAAUCCUUUUAUUGUAAUCGAAAAUUAUAAAAAAACACAUUUCUUUUUAUUUUAAAAAGUUUUUAGACAAAUAUAAUGUUUAAAUGAAAAUUCUUUUUUGUUAUAAAAAAAAAAAAAACUUUGUUUUUAAUGUGCUCUUUUCCGAUCCUUAGGUUAGGUGAGAGAUGCUCCAUUAACAAAAUAUGUUUUUAUAUAUUUAACUUAUAUAUACCUCUGUUCAAUUGUUAGUAAGUUUUUCUUUAAGACCUGUCUCUGGUUGCUCCAAUUAAUUAACUACAUCAUUUCAUUAAGAAUUAGCAACCUUUCUUUCUUUUAAGCACGAUACCAUGUAGAACAAUCUCAAUACUCAAUUACCAAAAGUUGAUCAACUUUAUUAGUUAGUAAACCUUUGGUAAAUACAAUCUCUUGUUCUUUCUUUUCUUCUAAACUUUUUUCCCUUUUCUAACUUUCUUUCUAUAAUAGCUCAUACUAAUUAAGGUAAGCUUGAGUAUGUUGAAGGUGAGGGGAGUUCUCACACUUAUAGGAAGUCAAAGUUCCAUUGAGAGAGAGUCUCACACUUUAGGAGAAGUCAAGUGAAAACUUUCUAAGUUUGGGCUAUUCUCGAGGUGUCACUGUAAUUAUAAUUUAUUUAGGUGUAAGUAUAUCGUUGGUAAUUGUUUGACUUUAUAUUGAAGAAGGAAGAGAAAAAAAAUAUGUUAAAAAUAGAGAAGUAAGAUAGUGUUGAGAUUUAUGUCCUAAAACUCGUAGAUUGUAAAUAUAAUUCAUUGGAUCGUUAUUAAUAAAAUGGUUAUUAUUAUAGGUUUCAAUAAAUGUCAUUCAUUAUAUUAUUAGUUUUGUCUUAAUAACCUAAAUCUAAUAAACUGAAAUCCUAAGUUGUUUGAUGAGUCUUGAACAAUAUGUAGAGACAUACAAUGAUCAACGUUCGAGAUUAAGGGGUCUAUAGUAGAGGGAUAAGGUUGGGUACCUUAUCCUGGUAACACUAUGGAUACGACUCACCUUGCAUUUAAUUACCCAAGACCGAGUGAGGAGCUGGAAACAUAAUUACCCAAGAUGGAAUUCACUCCUUUCUAACUUCAUGAUAAGUAAAUGAGUGUUUUCUUAAAUGGUGUCUCCAGAACUUAAACAAAGGGCCCUACCCUCUUUAUGGCACGAGAGGGGUUUUUGUGUAUUGGUUGAACCAUAAACAUAUUGUUCAUUAAAAGAGCACUGGUAUUUAAUGACUUAGAAAGAGUAACCACCAAAGGGCAAAAUUGGUAAUUUUGAUGGCAACGGUAGGACAUGCAUAGUGAAAUAAGGAUCAAACUUUACUAUAAUUACAACUAAACAAAUUUAGUAAUUAACAUGCAUAAUAACCCUAAUAUAAACAAAGAUAGGGUGAAAAGAAAAACUCGCAUUUGAUUGCUUUUCUCUUCUUGUAAUCUCCUCAACAACUUUUUGCAAUCUCCUCACAAUUCUCGAAUCCAGGACUACCACUAGAGUGACUGGCAAUUCUUUGGACUUGGAACCGAGUUUUGGGACUGAAAGAAGGUGGAGGAAUUAGAGAGGGAUGAUACGUUUUGGAGGAAUCUAACUCUUAAAUUUUUUUUGUUGUUGAGAGUAAAAGAAGUUCUUAGAUUAUUUGUUUGUAAUUCACCAUUACAAAAUUACUUUUUGCAUCAGAAACACAAGAGUCCUUUCAUCUUUGCAGAAGAAACUUUUACAAGCAAACUACAUGCAAGAGCUUUCCUAUAUCACCUCUUGGCAUUCUUAAUGGGGUAGGUAUCUUGCAUGCAAUAAGCCACUUGCAUACCACAUGCAAGUGAUAAGUGUUUGUCAAAUCUCAACAAGUGUUACUAUUUAAAUUAGUUUAAGGGCAAUGUGGUAAUUUAACAUUUCAAUCAAAUUCCAAAAUUUUGGACUUUUUAAGUUCCAAAGUUCAACAUCAUUUUGACUUAUUACCAUUUUGUCUGUCUUGACUAAUUUCGACCUUUCGAGUAUGAAUCCACAUUCAUUCUCUAAAAUUCAAAUCACAUUUGAAUAUAAAGUCGGUUAAAGUUUGGCUUUUCAAAGUCAAAAGUCAACAUUUUGACUUUUCACAACUUUGACCAUUUCCAUCAAUUCUUAAGCUUUCAAAUACGAAUCUAUAUUCAUAUUUUUAAUAUUUAAAUCAUAUUUAAACAUGAAACUCUAUCUUAAGCUUAUAACUAACGACUAUAUCAAAUAUAUUUGUCGGUUUCUCUCUCUUUACCUAAUUCGAACAAUUUGAAUUAUUCUAUAAUAAUGUUCUAAGUUGGAUUUCUUGUGAAGCUUGUAGGGAACCUAAUGGACCUAUAGAUCAUGGGCUCAAACGAUCUGAGUUUAACUAGUUUAAACUCUUUGAGAUCGAGUCAAUCAACAUUUGUUAACUAAUGGAUCAUUCCACUAAAUUCCCGUAGUUGCACUCCCCUCACUAUAGAUAUAUUUGUGUCCAUUGUGAUAUAACCAUGAUAAGUAAGUUAAUCCUCCACAGGUUGUUCGUAACCUCGUAGGUCAAAGUAUUGUUUUACCCCGAAUUACUAUAUCUUGCUCCUUAAGUCCAACUGAUCCACUAUUGAACAAUUGGUUUAAGGUACAACCUUUAAAUUAAAUCCCUCGGAGUUAAUGAUGUUUAAGGUACAACCCUUAUUUAUGUCUUGCGCCCUAUGUUCCUAGCUAUCUACCCGGUUCUUUACCCAUGAAAUGAGAGGCUUAUUAGGGCCAGCGUCAUUGGACUGUCUUCACCUAUACAGAAUCGAAGGAUAAUUUCGUGUGAAUAAAAGUUCGUAGUUAGCUCAGGAUUAAGAUUAAGUUAUAUUGGAUAUCAAUAAACGAAAUAGUCGGUUUUAUUAAAUUCAACGAUGUUAUAACUUAAAAAUGACUAUUUCAUAGUUCCAGUCUUAUGUAAACCUUUUACAUAGGAUGCCCCCACUUCCAUGUCUCUACUGAACGAUUCAGGAUCACAUCGUUUGUACUAACUACAAAGCAGACCACAUCCAUAGUGUCCCAGAAUAAGGUGUCCAACCGUAUUCGUAUACUAUAGACUAUUUAGGGUAUAUACUCGAACUUGAUAACGUUAUGUCUCUACAUAAAGUUAAAAUUUAUUCAAUAAUAGCCUUAGGUUCUUAGUUUAUUGGCUUUAAGAUUAUAGUAUCAAUAACGACUUUAUUGAAUAAAAUAUGAUUACAAACCACGGGUUUUAGGACAUAAAUUUCAACAAACUCUGACUUGGACUAAAACUCCUAGAGGAUAAAACAAUGUUGAAUUUAAUAAUGAGAGAACUAUUAUUAUGAAUACAAUAAACUAGGGUUUUCUCCCAAAUUUUCUCCCACUUGUCCUUGUGCACAAACUUCAUGGACCUAAACUCUUUUAGGUGACCUUCAUACACUUUAGCCGUGAAGGACUUUGUAAACUAAAAUAGUCAUAAUUUGCUCAACAAGUAUCAUGGUUACUACAACGUCACUACGAUGCACAAUCACCCAGAUAAGGUAUUACAAUUUUACUUUACGCUUCUUCACACUUCUGCUUUCCACUUAGAGUGAAUAUUGAUUUCGAUAUACACUUUCUAGCACUUUUAGAAAUCAUAAUCAAUGUAUCCAGUAAGGAUCAGAUCCUUAACACUAUAUAUAGACAAGCUCGUAGUCUUUUGUUCUACUAAGAUAUUUUAGAAUAUUCUUAAAGGUUGUCCAGUAAUCACAUCCGGGAUUGGACUGAUACCCACUGACCAUCCCUGCUGAGUAGCAAAUGUCAGGUCUAGUACAUAACAUUGCAUACAUCAAACUCCCAACAACGGAAGCAUUAAUAUCCUCAACUUUUUGAGAUGUUUUAAGACAUUGUUUCUUUGACAAAUGAAUUCCAUAUAUGUAUGGUAGCAGACCAUUCUUAGACUUGUGCAUCCAAUAUCUUGACAACAUUUUGAUGCUUGAAACAUGGCUAGAGUACUUUUGUUUUUAAGAUUCUGAACAAUUUGGAUUCCGAGAACAUAUUGUGCAUCUCUCCAAAUCUUUCAUUUGAAAUUGCGUAGAUAGUCAUUCUUUGAUGUGUUAAGGUGGUGUCCCCAAUUUAGGAUUUUAGUAGAUUAAGAGGCGUCAAGCUACGUGAGUUUUUCAUUUUUUGUAUUUUUUAAUUUAAAAGCACACUUAGCCUUUUAGAAUUUUUUUAUAUUUGCCAAUGUAUCAAUAUUUUGGAAUUCCCAAAUUAAAUUAAGGAAUAGUUAAAAUCUUUCGCUAUCAUGCGGUGUAAUCUUUCGCUAUCUGUUUUUUUCCUUUUCCAGAGGGAGCGUUACUUGAUUUACAGUUCUUUUUAAGAAAUAAAACAAAACCAAAUAUCAUUCGGUGAACAUGCAUUAUUAAAAUAGAAACAAAUUUUAUAUCCCAAAUAACCCUGCAAACAUUCCAGAGUCCAGUCAACACAAUUUGUUGAAAGUCUUGUUAGGGUCUUAUUUUACUUCCCUGUAUAUUAAUAACAAACAAACAACCAUUCCUCGUAGUAAAAUCAUCUCUCUUAGAUGGCACUUUGAACAUACAAUCACAAUAAUCAUCCAAAAACAAAAGACACCUGUAAUUGUCUAUUUUCAAUAUAACAAUGCAACAAAUCUCCUUACAACACCACUAAUCUCUAACUCCCUACAUUUCAAAAUUCUUACAAAGCAAACACCAUUAUGCACUAUAAACAAACAAACAUCCAUUAAUCCUUCUCAUUCAUACCAUUUCAACACAAAGACGUUAUUAUUACUGGAAACAACUUUAAUCUUUUUCUUCCACACCAAUGGCGUUUCAAAGACUUAUGCCAUUAUUGUUAGUUCUCUUGUUGCUAACCUCCUUCAACGUGUCGAUGGCAAAGAAAAAAAAGGCAAAAAGCAAAACCGAGAAGCCAGAUUUACCAGAUCCCAACAAUCCUAUUGUCUCGUUCGAAAAGUUUAGAGUUGAAAUUCACAAUGACUUGAAUAUGUACUUGUUAGAUAGUCGUUGCUACUCAAAAGACGACAAUUUCGGGUUGCACGUGUUGUUCCCAGAUGAACAACAAAAUUGGUCUUUUAAAGGGAAUUGGGAUGACACAACGACUUUUCAUUGUAGGUUGGAGUGGGAAAUUGGGUAUUUAGAAUUUGAUAGUUUUAAAAGUGACCCUGCUUUUGUGACAGAUUUUUGUUGCAACAAAACUUGCAUUUGGAGUGCAAGACAAAGUGGGAUUUAUUUGAAUGAUGCAAAUAACCAAGAAAUAUUUUUUGAUUACUGGGAAAUGCUUAGAUAGGAUAAGAGGUCUACAAUUGAUUGUCUGUGGCCUUCUAAUUAUUUUUAUUGAAUUUACACAUUAUUCUAAUUCAUAUAUUUAUAUAUAUUGAUCAAUGAUUAUUUUUUACAGUUACAUAUGUUUUGUAAUUGUCAGAAGUCAGAGUUUGAUUCAUAUAAAUAAAGUGAUUGGAACUGUUGUUGAUGAUUUGUAAUGUUGAAGUGACAAUUAUUGUUUCAGUGGAAAUUGUUUUCCAUCCCAUAUAGUGAAUUAUUGAUAAAUUUUGAUGUUAUGUGAUUUGGAAGUUAACACCGUGAUGGAUGAAUUCUCAGCCAAACUUACAAAAAUUAUUGUCUCUUACCUUUUAUUUUUUCUCUUUCUUUUUUUUAUUUUGCAAAACUUACAAAAAUUAAAAAAUGAGAAUGCAUCCAUCCAUCUAAACUAGUCUAAUUACUACAUUCAUUUAGAAAUUUAUAAAUUAAUAAAGAUGAGUUAGAACGGAUAUAAUAUAUAUAUAUAUAUAUAUAUAUAUAUAUAUAUAUAUAUUGAUAUAAUUAGACUUUGAUAAGUUUAAUAAUAUUUGACAUAAAUAGUAGAAUGUCAAUGUAUAAUAUAUGCUCCAAAUGUAUCAAGAAGACCCAAAACAAUGGAUGAGUUAGAAAAUAGUAUAUUUAUUUUUUCAAUAACUUUGUCCUGACUAUAUAUAUAUUUUCAUAUGACCCAGCAAUUUGAGUAACAUAAGAUAUAUUAGGAUUCGUUAUUUUGAGUUGUAGCUGUAGAUUAUCCAAAUAGUAUAAUGAUAUUAGUAAACAAAAUCAAUCAUAGAAGCAUUUUUAAUUAAUUAAUUAAUUAAAAUUGAGAUAAAUGGUCAAAAUGGCAACAUAAGUUACAAGUUUGAUCACACUCUGCUCUAUAUUACCAACUUAAUCCUAAGAUGAAAUAUGACGUUUGGAACACAAUCUGUAUCAAAACUUUUCUUAUCUUUCAAUCUAAAAACAUCGUCUUUUAUAUUUGCCCUAUUGAACCAAUAAGUGGACCUAACACAACGUUUAUUUCCUAAAUUUUUAAUAUUUUGUUUAAUUAUUUUUUUUGGAAAGGUAUUGUAAUAAAUGCAAUGGAUUUGCAUUUGAAUUCUAGACCUUUUGUUCACAAGUAUAUACAGGUGCCAGUUGACAGUAGGCGAUUAUUCAAUUAUUUAAUAAGAGUUAUUAUUCUCAUUAUUAUUCAAUUGCAUAUUAUUGUAUAAUAAAUAUCCAUGAAUAUGUUAUUAUAUUCUAAAUGUCUCUAAUAAAUUAUUAUUGUAGAAACAAUAAUAAAUUAAGAUUAGUAUGAGUUAUAAUUUGAUAAUCAUAUACGUUGAUUAUAUAUGUAGAGACAUAAAUUAUAAUCAUAUUUUCUUAUUAGAUAACAAGAAUUGGAUCACUGACCAUUUUUUAGAUUAUUACAUGAACAUAUGUCAUAAAUAAUCUCAAAUAAUUGAUUGUUUUGAUUCUUAGACCUAAGAUUAUCAUAGUGUCAAACAUAAGAAUAUAUUAAACUUUUAUGAUACAAUCAAACGUUGUCUUUAAUCGGAUAAUUAGAAAGGUGGUACUCGAAUACACGUUAUGAAUUAUGUAGUGGACAAUGAUUAUUCAGGAUAGAAUUUAUCUCUUUUUUAUAGAGAGAUAUCUCUGAGCCCCUUGAUUAUAGAUAUCGUGUGAUAAAAGAAUUAAAGAAUUAUUAUAUUAGGUUAUGUUCGAUCAUCAACUUAAUUUAAUAUGAGUAGUCAUAAUGUUUUACUAGAGACCAAUUAUGACUUAUGGGCCAUAAAACUAGUUAUGAGCUCAUUUUCAUAUUAAAUUAACCUAAUGGAUCGCACACGAAAGAACUUGGUCAAAUUUGUCUCAUGGUUAGGUAAUUAAUAAGCCAAUUGGAGAAGUUGAAUAUUAUUAGGAAAUUCUAAGCUUAUAACUAUGAAAUCCAAAGCUUAUUAGGAGACCCUAGGAAACCUAUAAAUAAUACCUAGACCUUUGGCAUUUUAUUUUAUAGAGAAGCGAAAGACAUAAAUUUGUUCUACACAAAGAGAUAAUAGAGAGAGUCGAAUAUCUCACUUUGUGAGGUUCUAGCAAAUCUGAAUUCGAUGAGUCGAAUUUCUAGUUUGUGUGUAGAUACUGUUAAAGAAUGCUUGUGAUUUCUAGUUGUUCUUUUGGACUCACUAAUUUCGUGUGUGUAUAAAAUAAUUGCAAUACGUCACUGAGUCUGGUCAUUGCGCGUGAUGCGCUCAUCGUAACUCUUUAUAUAACAUAUGUUUUAUUUCUGGGCCAUGGGCCAUGGGUCAUGAUCAUAGAAUACGAAAUGCUCACAAUGUACCUCUUCAUCACGUAAUUCCUAAAUCUUUGAUGAGUAGAAGUUUUCCUACUAUUUGCCCAAGUGCAAGCGAAAUAGUAGGUUUACUUGGGUGAUCUAGGGUUGAACACAAAGAAAUUUUUAGAUGUUAGUUCUAGAUUUUAUUUAUUUAGGCGAGUUGAAAGAAUCAAAGAAUAACAAUUGUAGGAAUUGUCGAAUUACACGACGAGAGUCUAAAGGCAAAGUAAAGAUAAAGAUACAAUAGCACAACUAACUUGUAUUAAAGGACAAUAAUGCAACUAACUUGUAUUAAAGGAAUGAAGGCAAGAAUGUCACUAUAUGUUACCCUUCGUAUGAGUAGAGAGACAACUAUGAUACAAUCUAACUCACUAAGACAAACGUAUGAUUAAGGCAUGCUUCUCUCGAAGGCAUAUAUGUCACACAUAACUGCUUUUCAGAGAUUCAUAUGACCAAGUAUAGCUAGUUGAGUUAUAUCAAGAAAAGACUACUUAUAAGUUCUAUAGUAUUUCAUGAUUAAGGACUAGUACCUCUCGGUAUCCAAUGCCCACACUUGCCCACCUUUCGGGGUCCAAAUGUUAGAAACACUAUCGUGAAGAGGCAAAGUUCCUCCCCGCGUGCGCUAGUUAAGUUCUAGCUAAUUUUCCUUUUUGGGUAAUUAGCAACUCAUGUUGUCCAAGCAAUAACAAAAGCACAAUUAACAUGUUAAAACUUAUAAGUGACUAUUCUUAUCAUGACCUAUCACCUACCCAAACUACUUAUAACACAUUGACUUGUAGAGGAAGAGAGAAAUUGAAAUGAACAACUAUGUUUAUAUAAAACUACAAAAAAUGUAGGUCAUAGACCAAUAUACAAUAUAUACAAUAUGAAGCACAAAACAUGAAAGAAACAACAAAUGGAAGACAAAGCAAAUGGAUUAAUAUUACAAGUUAGGAGAUUGACAUAGAUAGCCUUUUUCUCCAUCUACACUCUUCAAGCCCCUUUCUAGCCUAUUCGGGUCCCCCCUCUUGGUUGGUGGAGACAAAAUGCUUGUAUAGUCUGCUUUUCGGUGGGAACUUCUAUUCCUCUUAGUGUGUCAGUGUUGUCACUUGGCCUUGUGAGGUCACAUCAUCCCAACUACCAUCCUUGUUUUGUAGUGAGCUUUCUCAUGUGAUGUCUUGGUUUCUUGCCUGGGGUCAUUAAUCGCCAAGCUAGUUCCGAUCGUGUAGCUUUUGCAUGACAUGUCCUAUGUAAUUUGCUCCUUUCUUAUUUUUCCACUUAUCCCGUAUUUAAACAUGAUAACCACGUAAACCAUGAAUGACACUUAUGCAAGCUGUAUUUCUAAAUACUUAUGCAUUUACAACACAAGCCACGCAUUCUGAGAAUCUUCUUAUGCAUUUGACCUCAUUAUUCUAAUAGGAAAUGGUUACAAUAAUGCUCAUUUCUGCACGUUAUCAACUUCGUAGUGUUUUAGUGAUACAAAUUUGGAGGAUCGUCCGCAUUAGAACAAGGCAGUUCAAAUUUGGAACAUCGAUAUAAAGGUAUGCUUAUUCAUGAUUUAAUUGUUUAUGCAAAGUCUGUUUACAUUCUAAGGGUUGGGUUAGAGAAAAAUUUGUUUUGUUAAUUUCGCUGCAUCUAGCCCUAAUUUGUUUUCCAAUAAUUCUCUCACUCUCACUAGAGUGCUGUGCGCGAUGAUGUUUGAAGAAGUGGGCGGCGGCUACUCUAGGGUUGAAUGGUGAAGGAGAAGAUGAAUAGUAGCUAUGGCACGCAUCACGAGUGGUAUUAAAUAUAUAAAAUACUACUAAUAAUAAUAAACAUCAUCAUCAUCAUCAUCAUCAUCUCAUCAUCAUCAUCAUCAUCAUCAUCAUCAUAACUCAUUAUAUCACCUCUUUUACAUUUUUCCUUAAUAAUUAUAUUGUUCUAGAAUAUAAUUAUUCUUACUUCUCCAUAACUCCUACAUACACAUAUCAAUAAUUACUAAUAAUACUUCCAACUUUACAACUUUAAUUCACCAACUAAUAAAUCCAAAACCAAAUUUUAACAAUAGAAUUUCAAUUUCCAAAAAUUAAUCACACAUCCUUCCAAAACACUUAAUCUCCACGGUUUAAAACAAUUUCACAAGUAACACCCAAAAUUCAACAAAAUAAAAAAUUAAAAUAAAUUAAUAGUUUUGCGGUGUUACAAAGAUAAUCCAAUCAACUUCCAACAAGCUCUACAAAGUUUCAACUCUAAAAAAA
rnacentral:lncRNA from 1 species